rnacentral:lncRNA from 1 species
GUGUGUGAGAGAGAGAGGUCCUCUCAAAGCACAUUUGCAUAGGCUCUUCAAAUGUUGGAUAACACAUUUGGAAGAAUAGCUUCCCUUGCAAAUGAAUGUGCACAUGCCAUGGAAUGGUCUCAUGUCAAGAUAUGGACUCAUGUCCCUUCAGUCUUGACUAUUCCAUAUAGGGCCAGCUCUCAUCACAAGACGCUCGGAUUCUUUUACACUCGAUUAGUAACUCCAAGCAUUGGCUAAUCAUAUCAAUUAUGAGGCAUUCUAACCUAUAUUGUCUUUACUCGGAGGUAACCCUCACACCUCCUAGAGAUACCACUCUCUCAAAAUGUAAACUCUCAAUGCCUCACACGUACUCGGGGUAUUAGAACCGGGGCUCCAGUGUACAAAGCACCCAUAUUCUAUCUCUCACUCACUCCUACUAAGCGAGAGACUUUUGGUAUUAAGGUCUUGAAAGGUCAUAUUGUGAAUAUUCUCCCACUUAGCUUUUUGAGGCCUUAAUCGGAUCUCGCUCUCAAUAAAUCACAUAAUAAAACAACGUAACAAAUCCAUUCUUAUAGUUCUAAUAGUAGAUGUAGGUAAUAUAAUACUAAGAGGCUAGAUUCAUAACUUUUAAAAAAAUUCCAUUGAAUUAAAACAUGUGGUGAGAUUAGGGCUUGGAAUAGGUUUGGUCUGGUCUGGAUUGAACUGGGUGAGCGGGUCCAGUUCCCUAGAGAUUAGGGUUUAAAGAUUUGGAACAGACCUAGACUUGGGCCAGAUCCAAGUCAAUUGCACCCAGAGCGGACAUUGGUCUAACAAUAACAAAAUAUGUUUUAUAAUAUAGUUGCUAUAUAUAUAUAUUGCACAUAUAAGAACUUGGCUUUAUCAAGUUGGGAUGACUCAGACCUGACAUGGGUCGAGUCUCAGUCAAAUGGACCCAGAUGCAACCCAUCUAAUCAAUUGUUUGGGUAUAAACCCAAACGUGGUCGGGUCGGCCCAUCGAAUCCAUGGGUUGACCCAACCUAUUUCCCACCCCUGGCAGAGAGGGUAGGUGCCUGGUCAAAGGGGUGGGAGGGUAGGCGCCUAACAUCUUUGACAAGAUGCAUGGUUUCUUUUUUUCUUUUAUUUUAAGAAAGAGUGGAAUCAUAUAAGAUAUUAGUCUAUGAGAUUUUAUUUUAUUUAUAAAAUAGUGAAAUCAUAUAAGAUACUAUUCUACGAGUACAUAAACAUCUGUCCACAAGAGGGAGAGAGGGGAGCCCCAACCUUACAAUCAUUUGGAAGCAGGGGUGUGAAUGGGUUGGUCAGGUCUAAGAAAGCCCGAUCCAAACCCACACCAACCCGACUAUGUCCUAAAAGAUAUGGGUAUUUAUCUUUUAGAACUGAACCCAAGUAUAACCGACUCCAAAUAAUUGGAAAAAGACUAUGAUGAUGAUGACUCAGGUCAAGUCAUCUCACUACCAUAAAUGGUAGUGGACCCAACCGAUGCCACCCCUAUUUAGAAGGAGCAUGACUUCUCUUUUAUUUUUAUUUUUAUUUUUAUUUUAAGAACUGGUAAACCCUAUAGACAUUAGUCUGCUAAAUAUAUGAGACUGAAGAGUAUGUUGUUUUAAAAAAUUGCAGAGUUCAAAACAGCUUGAGGCUCAACUAAAGCAACUGUCAAACAGUUAAGUGAAGUUCAGUUUCAAACAGAAAACAGUGCAUUUUCUCAACUACAAGUCUUCAGUACAGUCAAAUGUGUCUUAGAUAACCAAGCAAAUAACUAAAGGAAGAAGAUAUUUUGAACUCUAAUGGGGUCGAAUAUGUAGGGGUAUCAGAAAAUCGCAAUCAAAAUCUAUUGGCUGCUGAAAUGGUGGACAAGCGGUAGAGAAGUGUCAGCACAUGUCAUCACUGAUGAGACAAUGGCAAAGCUCAUGGGCAGCUAGGAAAGAGACGAAAUGUGAUUAAAUUUCAGGUGCCAAUGUCUCCACAUAACAUUCCCCCCUGCAUUCCUGUCUUAAAAUAAUAAUAAAAGGAAGCAAAUGAGAGAAGGAAGUGCGGUGGAAUUUUAUAGCUGCGACAAAAGUCAUAAUCUAUGAUUAAAAAUCCAAUCCGCCCAGUAGUUUCUACUUAGCAAAGUUAAUCGGGAUUGCGCCUUUGGCGAGCCCAAGUUGUUUGAGUGUCGAUAAUAAAAAUAAUGAUAAUUUUUAAAAAAAAAAAUAAAAAAUUAAUUUGGGAUACAUUUUUUUUGGGAAAAAUUAUGUAUAUAUCCAUUAUUACUAAAAUAUCAAAUAGUUUCUGUUAUUACUGGAAUGUCCGUUUUUUUCACUUCAUAACGAUUUUUUUUUUAAAAAAAAAUGACUUUUUUACCCUUUUUCGGUUUUUGAACAGUUGAAAUAGCUAGAUUUUCGGUUGUUCAAAGACCGAAAAUAAGCUAAUUUCAGUUAUUGAACAACCGAAAAUAACGGUGCUUGUUUAAACUUAUGGAAUACGGAGUACUAUUAUCGGUUGUUGAACAACCGAAAAAAAAAAAUGCAAAUUCUAAGCUUUUGUCAUUUUUUUUGUUGUUGAACAAACGAAAAUAUGACAUUUUCGGAUGUUGAACAACCGAAAACAUGACAUUUUCGGAUGUUGAGCAACCGAAAAUGUUCUAGCAAGCUUCUGGAAUACACAGUCAUAUUUUCGAUUGUUCAACAACCGAAAACUAUACAUUUUUUGAUGUUGAACAACAAAAAAUAGAACUGCAUAUUCCAGCAACCUUCUGGAAUAUACAAUCUUAUUUUCGGUCAUUCAACAACCGAAAACAAGGCAUUCUCGGUUGUUCAACAACCGAAAAUAAAACAAAAAAAGGUAAAAAAGUCCUUUUUAAAAAAAUUUCGUUAUGAAAUGAAAAACGGACAUUCCAAUAAUAACGGAAACUAUUUGGUGUUUUGAUAAUAACAGAAACUAUAAUAGAUAUAUACGUAAUUUUCCCUCUCUUUUUUUAAAAAGUUUAUAUAGAGUUGAAGCUCUAAAUAAUCAAAUUAGAGCCUGCUUCAAAAAUUUCACUAGAUGAGGUCGUUUUGAUGUCCAAAUAUCCUCAAAUUAAUCACCUCAACAUUAAGAUAGAUGCAUGGACACGAAAGAAAAAAAUGGAUUUCAAGUUUUGAAAAUAAUGCAUAUUUGUAAUGCAUUUUUGGACAGUCAAUUUUCAAGAUUUUCAUAUAUCUGCUCGAUCUACGCUAUUUUUGAAGCUUUAAAUUUUAUAAUUAAAUAUAAAAAUAUAUUAUAAGUCUAUCACAAGUAUUUCCAGUAGUGAAACCACAUUUCUCCACACUAUAGAAGGUGCACUUUACUUUGAUUGUUUAAAGCUUCGUCUCCAUACAAACCACACCUUUUUUUAUAUAUAUUUCCGUCAUUUUAAAAAAGAUUGGAAAGUGUUUGUGUCAUAAAUACUUAUUUUACAUACUAUUUUUGAAUUAUUUCAAAAAUACCCCCAGCAGCAACCUCAUUUUUAAAUCUAUGUUUUUACUACUUUCUUAAGGUCAUUUUGAAGUGUUUUGCUUGAUCCUCCUUUAAACAUGCAUUUUCUAUUUUUAAAAAAAAAAUUUAUCUUUUUUUUAUAAUCAUUCGACUUUUUUUUUAGCUGCUAAUCACGUAGAAUUACUUGGACUAGGCUCGGACCACUCGGUCAGAGUCGCACUUCUAACAAUGGUCAUAACCACUCCAAAGACACCCUCUGAAAAAAGCUCAUAAAGGCUUAAUUGUGGUGAGAAGUGCAUCCUUUCUCUGAAGCCUAGAGAAGCUCUAAAAAGGCUUCUGGACAAUUACGCUGAGAAGUUCAGACCCUCUCUAAAUUGUGGCCAACGGUUGAUAAAAAGGACUGGGGAUUGUCUACAAAGAUAUUUUUUCGAACUUUGUAACCCAUCCAAGCUAUCAAACUUCGUAUGGUUACAAGUAAUUAUGACCAUCUUGUAUCAAAGAUAAAUAGCCUCAUUGUAUACAAUCUUUUCAUCUUUUGUACAUGGAUAUUACAAUCAUACUUGUCCCUUAAAUUUUAAAAUGGGUGAUUAUAAAAAUGCUAUUUAAUAGAUACAAAGUUCAAAAAAAAUUUCCCGAUCUUUGUAACUCAAUCCAAACCAUCAAAUUUGACAUCUAAAGAGCGAGAAUGCAUGUGACCUCCACAUAAAAAAGAUAAAUGGUUUCUCUAUAUAAAAAAAAUCCCAAAACUUAAUACCUUUUAAGUGACCCUUAGCCUCAGCUCCACUAAGCGUGUGUUUCUCACACAAAUUGAAAGUGCAUCAAGAAACCCUAAAUCUCUCUCCGUCUAUCACAAGACCUCAGGGGCUAGAAAAUGUCCCUGAUUUAGCCAAAAAGAAGCUUAUCCGUAAGCAAUAUAGGACUAAAAAUCUCUCUUAAGCAUGUUUAAAUUUUGAAAAAAAGGCUAAGCAAACUGAAAAAUUCAAUUGUUUUGAGACACUUUUAGGUCUUGCGCUCGACUAGAGUUUGAAAAACAGAUUAGUGAAUUGGAUCACCAUCUAGAAAACUAGUCCAAAUCGGUGAAUAGGCAGUCCUGAGAGUCGAUCUAGCCAAGUGAAUCAGCCAAAUAAAAAAAAAAAGGACUAAAAUAAUAAAUUGAAAGGAACAAAAAAAAAAAUGGACCCGGAUUAGCUUGUUCCUUGACAUAAACGAUCGGUUUUAUUAGAUAACUGGCCGCUUGUAAGAACCGACCAGUUUCCAAUAUAUGAUGGGAACCGGACUAAUCUCACUGAUUCCCGAUCCAGAUUGGUGUUUCAUAAAACCCUGAUCUCAACCAUCCUGAUACAAAUAUGACCUGUGUAUCACGGUCAUUUAUCAAUCAUGUUGACCCGUUCCAAUGUGCGCUCUCUCUCUCAAGUAAUUCAGUUUAGCAAAUAGAGAAAAUGAAGAUGAAAGAUCAUGUCAAACAACCAACAGUACACUAACUCAAAAAAAUUAAAGGUAAUUUGGAUGAUGCAGGGUGUCUUAAUUACUCUUAUUAUACAUCGAUUAGAAAUCCUUCCAGUUUGAGUAAGAUGUCGCAAUGAAUAAAUGACAUCCAUCCAAAAUGCCACGGUUCUUUAGGGAGGAUGAAUUCCUUGUUAUGGUCUAGAAAAAGUAUUAAUGCUGCUUUUUUAAACACAGCACCAAAAUCAACAUGAAUCAGAGGAAAAAAAAUAGAUAGCUAAAAAAAAGAUCAAGUGAAAGGAGUAACAGAUUAAUAUAGAAACACUCAAACUGAAAAGCCUAUGAGAUUAAAAGUGAAAGGUGAAAACAAAGGCAUUCGAUCUUUGAAGUUCAGUGUUGUUUAUUCAGCAUCAGAUAAAACCCAAAACCUAGAAACCCCACAAAAGAUUCCAUGCUUCUAAAAACUGACUCACAUUAAGAUUUACUUCCUGAAGAAAUUGACUUAGCAAACCACACAAAAAGAACCAGAGACUAAAUGUAUGAAAGAAAAGCCCAUGAAAAUUCCGCCACAUGUCGAUGUACCUUAAUUAAUGCAAAACUCAGAUACUACACACUCUUAUACUUAGCAUUAUCAUGAUACGCUAACACAAAUCAACUUUUUUCUUUUUUCUUUUUAUAAGGGAAAAGAAAAGCGCUACUGCAUGUCCAACUAUUGACAAUGGCUUUAGCCCACAAGCAAGAUGACAGCAGUCCUAAAGAAGAGCACUUCUGGAUAAGAUCAUAUUAACAGCAGAUAAUCUACCUCAGAAUAUGUUCAUAGGAAGCUAAUGGUAGAGCAGACUCUGGGCUGGACUUGUGCGAGUGCAUGCUUGUGCACGUCCAUGCUUACGUGUGCAUAUGAGAAAGAGAGAGCAAUGUAAUGGAGUUAAUGAAGUUACGUACACAUGAGCAUACAAAGAACGCAUGUAAGAAGUCCCUUCUAGUGGGUUAAGUAGGAGCUCCCAUCCCAAUCAAUAUUUUAUAAGAAAUUUCAUGGGUCACAGGGUGGUGGUCACUAGCAGUAGGGCAGUGAUUGAUGGGUAGUGAAGUGCCAACCAUUCUACCGUUCAAGUGUCUAAUCCAAUGGUUCGAAAGAGAACUCCCAAUAACCAGAUACAAGGGACCUCCGGCAGCAUCAGUUCCCUGCAUACAGUGUGCAUGGGUUUUCCUUUCAAGUCCAGUUCGAGAUGAUCAACAAAGAGCUCGCCUUUGUUUUUGUUUUUUUUGUUUUUUUUUUUUCUCAAUAAGCAAAUAGUCUGUUAUAAAGCAAGAAACAAGAGACCGGAACAACAUGUAUAGCACGUACACAGAAAGGACUCAUAACAAGGGGGGGAAACCAUACACACUUGGAUUAAAAACCAUAGUUUUCAUCCCCUGCUCACCCUUCACACAUAUUUUCCUUUUUCAUACAUGGACCUUUUUACAACUGCAGAUAACGGGAAAUAAAAUGAUUCAAUUUAGUACUUAGUAGAGUGGCUAUAGAGAUCCAAUUUGCAUGGAAACAUGAAAAAUAUACAUCAAUAAGAGAUUAAAAUGAUCUAUCAGAAAAACAAAAGGAGUUGUCAUUGUUCAAAGAAUUACAAUUAAAGAAAAUAUACAGCAACAAUUCAAGGACAUACCAACACAUAAAUCGACCAUGUUUCUUUCAUGGGAAAUAUAAGAAAAAAUCAUAGUCCAUAAAACAAGUGCCACUCAAAAACUGAAUGUCACUGGAGUUUGGAACCUCACCUAAAAUAAAAUUGCCGCCAAUUGGUUUUCUUUUUUUGGUAGGUCAACGGUGAGAUUCAAACAUGGGACAUAAUGUUGCGAUCGUCCACACUGUAGGCAUCAAGUCCAUUUCCUACUUCCCUAUAUCAAAUUUUGUUGCCAUUGUGUCUUGAAAGGAUGGCAUCAGAAGCACUAUUUAACAAAUCAGAAUCAAGCCCUGACUCGGCAGGAGUCUGAUUCUAAUUUUCCCGAUGAGACUCGGAUGAUUCAUGAACUGGAUCAGGCUACAGAUUUGCAAAUAAAUUAAAAAAGGAAAAAAAAAGUAGAGCAAUCGAAGAAAUCAGGCAAUUCCAAGGAUUUUCCAUCAGGAAUCAUCCAUCUCAUGGUUCCAAUCAUACUCGACUGAUUCCAAGUUGGACCGGUAAUUUUUUAGUUGCUAAGCAUCUUGGAAAAGCUUUUUUUGAUAAUCAACACUACCAAUCUCCAUCGCACUACGGUGCAAUUUUAUUAUUGAAAAAGUUUAUAUAAGGUGUUAACCUAAUACUAUUGAACUAAGGUGCACCUCUAAAAUACUCCCAAAGAGAGUGUUCUAACGGCCUUGAGAGAUAUGGAUACAAAGAAAAAAAGAAUUUCAAGUCUAAAAAUAGUACAUCUUGCAGCAAGUUAUUUGGACCAUCUAUUUUCAAGAUUUUCAAAUAUUUAUAUAUCUGCUGAAUUUGUACCAUUUUUGAAAUUUUAAAUUUCAAAACUAGGGAUGAAAAUAGAUUUUUAAGCCAUCAUAAGGUUUCUAACACCGGAACUGCAUCUUCAAACAAAAUUUAGAGGUGCGCCUUACUUCUAGAAAAUAAGGAGAGCACCUCAUAUAAACCUCACCCUUUUAUUAUUCAAAAGUUCUAAAAAAUAAGAAAGCACCUGUAGGACAGAAAAAGGCAGUCUACCAAUAGAAACACUAGAAUAUGGUGAUGAGAUUUACUUAAUAUCCAAACAUUCGAAACAGCAAGCUGCAUAUGAGCAAUUGAAGUAAAGAACAGCAGUAUAUGAUGCACUUCUUUUUUGUUAAGCCAUAUCAUACACUAUAGGACAAGAUUCAAUGAAUUUCUCAGCUCCCUAAUUCUGUGAAAACAUUACAUAAGGUCAAUAAUGCUUCAUGAUGCUAUUAUUACUAUAAAACAUGUGGUUCGUUAUAUUUGUGAUAAUAUAGUAAAUACAAUAUGAUGUGACACAUCAGCUUUUGCAUUAAAGCACCAGUUCAUUAACCUGCUGUAUUUAUAAUUAGCUUUAGAUUAAAGGAUAUAGUUUUACAAGUUUUACAGAUUCAAGCCAGCCAAUUUCUCAAGACCUAGACGGCAUAACAAAAGAAGGAAGUACUUAAUUGCAAGCAAAAGCUAAGAAUAGCCCAAGUUGAGAUAGCUAAACAGAACCUUCUUAAUCUUACUUGAAGCAUGACAUCCACAGAUAAAUGCAUACCAUAGUGAUCGAAUAGCAGGUAGAGAAUAAAAUCCCUGUAGUAGCCAAACUUUGUGACUAUACUCCCCUGCACACUUAGCAGUUCGUCAUUCAAUGCAUUUAGAAAGGAAUUUUUAAAUUUCCUAGAAACAUGACCAAUUGAUUAGUGGCACCUAGCAAAAGAACAUCAAAAUCUGAGCAAUUCAUAUAAAUAAGAAUCCAAAAAUAAAGGGAAAUAAACCAUUAUACCAACUUCCAAAAGUGUCUGAAACCUGGCUUCCCUAAGACAGGGACAUCAUCUAGAUGCAUACCUUGAAACUCAAAUAAUCAAUGUUUCAAGAAUACAAAUUCAUCAAGUACGCCAGUGAUGACGACUAUAACACUUAAUGGAUUUUCAAGAAAAAGAACAAUACGGUUAAUUUUCAAUCAAUAGGUCCAUAUCCCCCCGGCUCCAAAAAAAANNNNNNNNNNNNNNNNNNNNNNNNNNNNNNNNNNNNNNNNNNNNNNNNNNNNNNNNNNNNNNNNNNNNNNNNNNNNNNNNNNNNNNNNNNNNNNNNNNNNNNNNNNNNNNNNNNNNNNNNNNNNNNNNNNNNNNNNNNNNNNNNNNNNNNNNNNNNNNNNNNNNNNNNNNNNNNNNNNNNNNNNNNNNNNNNNNNNNNNNNNNNNNNNNNNNNNNNNNNNNNNNNNNNNNNNNNNNNNNNNNNNNNNNNNNNNNNNNNNNNNNNNNNNNNNNNNNNNNNNNNNNNNNNNNNNNNNNNNNNNNNNNNNNNNNNNNNNNNNNNNNNNNNNNNNNNNNNNNNNNNNNNNNNNNNNNNNNNNNNNNNNNNNNNNNNNNNNNNNNNNNNNNNNNNNNNNNNNNNNNNNNNNNNNNNNNNNNNNNNNNNNNNNNNNNNNNNNNNNNNNNNNNNNNNNNNNNNNNNNNNNNNNNNNNNNNNNNNNNNNNNNNNNNNNNNNNNNNNNNNNNNNNNNNNNNNNNNNNNNNNNNNNNNNNNNNNNNNNNNNNNNNNNNNNNNNNNNNNNNNNNNNNNNNNNNNNNNNNNNNNNNNNNNNNNNNNNNNNNNNNNNNNNNNNNNNNNNNNNNNNNNNNNNNNNNNNNNNNNNNNNNNNNNNNNNNNNNNNNNNNNNNNNNNNNNNNNNNNNNNNNNNNNNNNNNNNNNNNNNNNNNNNNNNNNNNNNNNNNNNNNNNNNNNNNNNNNNNNNNNNNNNNNNNNNNNNNNNNNNNNNNNNNNNNNNNNNNNNNNNNNNNNNNNNNNNNNNNNNNNNNNNNNNNNNNNNNNNNNNNNNNNNNNNNNNNNNNNNNNNNNNNNNNNNNNNNNNNNNNNNNNNNNNNNNNNNNNNNNNNNNNNNNNNNNNNNNNNNNNNNNNNNNNNNNNNNNNNNNNNNNNNNNNNNNNNNNNNNNNNNNNNNNNNNNNNNNNNNNNNNNNNNNNNNNNNNNNNNNNNNNNNNNNNNNNNNNNNNNNNNNNNNNNNNNNNNNNNNNNNNNNNNNNNNNNNNNNNNNNNNNNNNNNNNNNNNNNNNNNNNNNNNNNNNNNNNNNNNNNNNNNNNNNNNNNNNNNNNNNNNNNNNNNNNNNNNNNNNNNNNNNNNNNNNNNNNNNNNNNNNNNNNNNNNNNNNNNNNNNNNNNNNNNNNNNNNNNNNNNNNNNNNNNNNNNNNNNNNNNNNNNNNNNNNNNNNNNNNNNNNNNACUGAGAUCGUCUUUAAUCAAAACAAUGACCGUCAGGACCAUAUCCGAAAAUCUCCAUAUGUGAAAUCCAGUUGUUAUCCACAAUCCACAUUAAGGGAUAUAGGUUCUCCUAAAGUAUACAGAUGAUAGAAAAAAGAAAGAAAGAAAAGGCCAAAGACAUAGAAAAGAAAUAUACUAAUGGCAAUUUUACUGGAUCCCAAAAUCUCUACAUUAAAAAUCAGGUGUUAUUGACAUAGCUUACAAUAAUGAAACAUAGAUCACAUCAAAUAGGUAGAUCAGUACAUAUACAUGCAUUGCUAGCUUGUCAGUGAAUCGAUUAGCUUGUUAAGAUCACUUUUAUGGCUACUUUUAAACUAGCUCCCACUAAAAACACUGAUGUUCUAGAGCCAUCUACUACACUAGAAGGCUGAGUGCUACUUGCUUGUGUGGAGCCAAGGUUCCCAAAGCCUCCAAGACGAACUUUUUAUUUGGAACAGUGCCAUCUUUAUCCAUUCUUUGGUUCUUUAAUCCAAAGAACCACCGCUUUCAAAAUUUCCUAAAAUAUGUGAAUCCAGUUGUUAUCCAUGUAAUAAGAGAUAUAGGUUCACCUAAACUAUAGAAAUAAUAGAAAAGAAAAAAGAAACAAAGAAACAAAGAAACAAAAGGCAAAAGACCUAGAAAAUCAAUAUACUAAUGGCAAUUUUACUGGAUCCCAAAAUCUCUACAUAAAAGAUCAGGUAUUGUUGACAUAGCUAACAAUAAUGAAACAAAGCUCACCUCAAACAGGUAGCUCAUCACAUUGACAUGGUUUACUAGCUGGUCAGUGUACCAAUUAGCCUGUUAAAAUCGCUUUUAUGGCUAGUUUUAAACUACUCCUUACUACUCAAAACUGGUGCUCUUGAACCAUCUACUACACUAGAAGGCUGAGUACUAAUUGCUUGUGUGGAACCAAGGGUUCCCAAAGCCUCCAAGAAGAACUUUUUAUUUGGAACAAUAUCAUCUUUCUCCAUUUGUUUCACUAGCAUCUCUAAAAGGUCCAUCAUGUUGGCUUUUGUGUAUGCCUUAUAAAGAAGUUUAUAUGUCGAAGAAUCAGGCAAAACCUCCUUUGUGCGUGCAUAUUGCAAGAGGAGGUCAGCUUCACCAGUCAACCCAUUCAUACAAUACACAUCAAGCAUUGUAUUCAGUGUCGAGACUUGUAUCUGCAUACCUGAAUCUAUCAUCUCAGAGAAUAUAUCUCUUGCCCUAGAGACACAAUCACAAUACCCAUAAGCCAUCAUCAGGCUCUCAUAUGUGAUAAAACUCGGUUUAUAGCCUAAAUCAAUCAUUUUCCUAAAAACCCAUUCAGCCUUCUCCCUGAGCCUAGCUUUUCCAUAGUUGGUAAUCAUUGAAUUGAAUGUUGGUAAUGUAGGCUUUUCCUUGGAGCGCAACAAGCUCUUGAAUACUUGCUCCAUCUUAUCGAAAGCCUGGCGUUUCCCAUAUGAAUCGAUUAGUAAGUUAUAUGUGAUUGUGUCGGGUCUACAUUGGUUCUUUCUCAUUCGCAAUAGCAUUGCCUCCAAUUCAACAAGCAUUCCAUUCUUCCCAUACGCAUCCAUAACACCAUUGUAAGUGUAAAUAUCAGCUGAAAGAGCAUUUGUUUCGAGAUCUACGAAUAGGGUUUCAACCUGGUAGACAUCUCGAGACUGUGCAAAAGCCCUUAAGAGAAUGUUAUAAGUGACAAUGUUGGGUUUACAUCUCUCUAUACCUUUCAUCUUUUCCAAGUAUCCCAUGGCUUUGGCCAAGGCCUUUGUUUUAUCCUUUGAAUGCAAAUGUGCAGUGAUAAGAGCAUUGUACACCGAAGUGUCCGGCCGACAACCACUGUUGCGCAUCUCAGAGAAGAGCCACAUUGCCAUUCGGGUCUGCCCUUUCUUUCCCAUUACUGAGAUCAACUUUGAAUAAAUACCGUUAUCUGCAACAUACCAUUGUUGUUUCUGCAUCCAUCUGAAUACCUAGAUACAAAAUCAGAAAACUGUAAGGAAUAACAAUAUUCUGCAUUUCGCAUACACAUGUGUACGCACAUAGAGAGACAGAGAGAGGUUCACUAAUAAAUUUGAAAAAAAACAACAGGCUCUCACAUUUCCCUAAUGAAGCAAUUUGCACUUUCAAAGGCCAGUUGAUCCUUGACCAAUUCGGAGAGGAAGUGGUGUUCUUUUCAAUAACAUAAUUUGGAGUUACUCACAAAUUUUUCAUGAAUGGAAAUGUUAUUAAUAUCCAAAACAAGCAGGAUAUAUUACACACUUUUAUGGGCAUUAUAGUAUUGGGAAAUAUUUGUCAAAAAAUACACGAUGACAUGUGAUGCAACAUGAUGGCACUCAUGCUCGCUUCAUUGUGCUUGCAACUUGGGGCACAUUAAAAAAAUUUCCGAAAAAUCCCAAAAAAUUGUUUAAAAAGGGGAGAUUAUUCUAUACAUUUUUUUAUAAUUUGGAUGUUAUUGGCAAAGACUGGUGAGUUUUUUUAGCAUAAUUAUAUUUUCUUUUUUUAUUUUUUAAAAUGUCCCCAACUAUUUUUUGAAAUCCAUGUUUUCUAUACCUUUUUAAGCCUAUUUGGAGUUUUUAAGGUUGUUUUUUGGUUUUAUUUAACUCUUAGUAGCUUCAUUGUAAAUUUUCCUAUUUUAAAAUUUAUCUAGGGCUUUUGGUCCUGUACAGAACACGACCAAGUAACUAGCCUUGGCCAAAAGCCGAGUCCCUUGGCCGAGGAGAGUCGGUCUCAUCAAAUGGCCAAACUAGCAGAAAGUAUCCGUAAUUCAUGGUAAUCAUACUUGGAUUAUGUACGAUUCAAUAAUAAUAAUAAUAAUAAUAAUACUUGGAUUAUGAAAAGGGAUAAAAGAAUGGUUGCUCUAAAUGUUAAGUUUUUGACAAGCAUUCGGCAUGAAAAUCAUCUAAUGAUCUGCUAGCUCCUGAGGUAAUUGUUUUUUUAGCAGCUAAUUGUAACAGUUUGUCUUUUCAGAUGCACAGGUAGGCAUUAACUACAUCAAUCAAAUUAGAUAGAAUCGAAUAUAAAAGAAGCAUCCAUUAAAAAAACCAUUAGCUUCAUGAAAAGAACAUAGAAAUAACUCAAAAGAACAAUAAAUGAAUAACUGCUGAAAUUAACAGGAAAAAAGCAAGUGGGGCCAAACUCAAACCCAUCAAACACAAAAAAAACAAAAAUAACCAGCUCUAAAAAGAACCCCUAAAAGCGAAAAAGAAUAAAAUCUUCUGAAACAUCAAAAACCCACAUAAUCUAUAACAAAAAAAUCAGGGAAAACAAUGCUUACUUCAAGACAUUGUAGCCAAUUAUCCCUCUUCCCAAGCUCUUCAAAAAGAAGGAAACAAUGCUCAUUUCUAAUAAUUCUCACAUACUUGUUCAGUGUGCUUAUUAAAGGCUUAUCCUUGCUCGAAUUUCUCACCAACACUGAAACAAGCUCUUCCACCUCUGACUUUUCACUAUUCUGUGACCUCCUCUUCUUUGAGGGAGCCAAACCACAUGUAAUAAAUUUGGGAGCUUUUUUGCAGAGGAAAAACUUCGCCACUAAAUUUGGCGGGCGCUCUCCAAAUUUGGUAGAGAGAUUGAUUCGUUGUUCAGUGAAUAGUGAUGGAGAGGGGAGGAUUUGAAGGGGAGAAAGAGCAGAGAGAUUUGGAGGCAUUUUCAGUGGAGUGUUGCCAAAGUUAGGGGAGGAGGAGACGGGGAAAGAGAGAGAGAGACUCUCCACAUUUGGGGCAGUUUCAGCGUGCUGCAAAACCUGCACAUGUGCCCCCUUGUAUAAUGCCGCUUAAAUAUGGAUUUUAGAUCCAAAUUAUGAUCUUGUUAAAGUCAACAUGAAUAUUGAAAAGAGAAAAAUCAAGUUAAAAAUGUGUUUUUUUUGGGGGAUUUGUUUUUUGUGUAGCAUCCAUAUGUUAAUUUUAGCAAGAGCCCGCUGACUCAUGAAGAACUUUUCCUCCUAAAAGUGGUGUUGGAGUCGGACGCCCCCAACUUUUGAGGGGUUAGUCCGUAAGAACUCAUUUUAAUUUUAUUUAACAAAAUAUGUUUAAUUUUAUUUAAUGGGUUUGGUCUAGUCGAAUCUUAGUUUUACAAAUCGGUUGGACCAAAUUUUAAAAAAUAUAUAUAAAAAAAAAUCUGAUAAUUAAAAAAUAUAAAAUAUAUUACGAAAAUAUAUUUCAAUUUUAUUUAGCGAGACAAAUCUGGUAAAAACAAGGUGGUCGAAUAGGGUAAAAAUUAAGUUUUUGCUUUAGUAGAUCAAAGUAGGCAUCAUUAUGUAAUAGGAUUAGAUAAUAUGUUUUAGUGUUGAUAAUAAUAGUGUUUGAUUACUCGGGUGAGCCAUCUCGGACUCGCUCAAGUAACUCGGACGCACUACCUCGGUGAGCCUGAGUAUCUCCGAGUUGUGUGUCCAACUCGAUGAUCUCAAAAAAAAAUCAAAAAACUUAAAAAAAAUUGACUCACCACCCUAGCAAGUCUGAGUAAUCACGAGUUGUGUAUCCAACUCCAGGAUCUAAAAAAAACAAAAAGAAUUAAAAAAAAUCAAUAAAUAAGAAAUUUAUUAAUCAUAUGUUUUUUUGUUUCAUAUCAUUUUGGCAAAGAUUGGAAAGUGUUUAGGUAUGAAUACUUAUAUUCCUUUUUCGAUUCGUUUUUUAUUAUUUCUAAAAUACCACCAUCACAUAUUGACUUUUUCAAAAUCCAUUUUUCAUAACUUUUUUAACCUCAUUAGAAUGUGUUUUGUUUAAUUGUACUUAAACAUAUUCUUCCUCUCUUUUUUUAUUUUUUGUUUUUUAUUUUUAACACUUUUUGGCCUUGACCAGAACUCGGCCCAACUCAGCCCGAGUUCCUCGGACUCGAGCCUAGUUCUCAGCUCGGGACUGGGCUAAGCAUCCGGCCCAACUCACUCUUUCCAAGACAGCAAGAUUUGGACCCGCCAAGGCAACGAUUGACGAUCCAACUAGUUGACAAGACAGUCCAAUGUCAUGUUUAACGAAACCUAAAAAUCAAUUGAUUCUAGUUUUUAUAAAGGGAUUGUAUACAAUGAGACAAUGUACCUUUAAUACAAUGAAGUCACAAGUAUUUAUAACCAUCUUAUGUGAAAUCCAAUAGCUUAGGUGUGUCCUAUAGUUUGAGAAAAAUUCUUUUAAAGUUUAAGCUUGGUAAAUAGAAUAAAUGCAUCCAUUCAAUUUCACAUCCAAUGAUAACAAUUAAUUGUGACCACCUUGUACCAAAGGUAAAUAGUCUCGUUGUAUUUUCUCUUUCAAUAUGCUUCUAUUGUGUCAAUAAACGAUUGUGUCAAUUAGAUUUUUCAAUAAAAAAAUCAUUUCUCCAAUCAAUAAACGAUUUAAUCCCUCAUUUAUGAUGGCAAAAACCACAAUAUACCACAAUUAGGUUAAUAAUAGCAUGGUAAAAAAUCAUUUUGUCUUUUCAUGAAGUUCCAAAGCUCCAGCCUGCAAAUUGAAGUUUUCCCUUCUCUAAACUUGUCGUUUAAUAGAUCACAUCCCCUAAGAAUGGGUUCCAAAAAGUACUCCUAAUUGCGGUUUUGCUCAAUGGAGCAAAUGCAUAUUUUGCUCUUAUGGGUGUAUACUGAUCUUGUGAGUUUAUGAAAAGACAAAAUACCUCCCAGAGGAAAAUGUUUAUACAAGGUUGACACUUUAAAAUAUGGAAUUAAGAUACAUAUCUAAAAUCCUUCAAAAAAUGUUGUUUUGACGUUCGAAAAACAUUGGAUUUAUCACCUCGACAUCGAGAUGUAUAAAUAUGAAAAAAAAAAAAAGAGAUUUCUAAUCCUAAACAUAACACAUCUUGUAACACAUUAUUUAGACUGUCCUAAAAAGUUUUUAAACCAAAAUUGCAUUUCAUUACAAAGUUUGGAGGUGCACCUUACUUUGAAUGUUUAAGGUUGUACCCUUUAUGCAAACCAUGCCCUAUUCUAAAUCAGUAGUUUUGGCGAUUUUUGAAAUUAAAUAUAAGCAUCUUGAAAUCAAUUAGAACAUGAAAUGUUAAAUAGUUCCAUCUCAGAGGUUCUUUUUUUAUCAAUUUUCCUAAAAUAAUUUAGGAAAAUUUUAAAUAAAUUAAGAAGAAUAUUAUUAAAUAGCUUGAAUUUUCUUACAAAACUAUUAAAUGGCUCAAAGGAUUUCAUGAAUCACUGUGGUCUAAUUUUUUAAAUUUUAUCUCAUAAAAGUGUCUCUCUCAAAAAUAUUGGUGAAAAAAAUUCUAAAUUACCCAAGUUCAAAGUUGGGAAUCCCAAACAAACAGAGAUAUUGUGGUAAUUUAGGCUCCUUAAGUGGGCCUGGAAAUAGGCCGAGCCUGGGCCCAGACAAAAACUCAUAUAUUGCUCACUUUUUUUGGACCAUUCGAUAGGCCGUCCUUCUACAAUAGCCUUUAGACAUAACUCUCUUCGGAUAGGAUUUAAUUUUAUGUGAAAUCAAUUGUCUUGUCUAAAAUUAAUAUACUAUAGAUAAUAGUAUUAUUUUUACUUGUUUGGUAGUAUCGUAUAUUUUGCAUAAUAUCAUUUAAUUAUUUAUGUAUUUAAGUUAUUUUUAGCUACUUUUAAAGCAACAAAAAUGUGAAUUUCAGCUAAUUACUUUGAAGAAAAUGCAAAUAGUUAUUCAAAUAAUAAAAUUAAUUACAAAAUCGCCUAUAAGUUUAUUUGAAAUGACCUUAUGAUGGAUCCUGCCUGAUAACUUGUUAUCCAUAAUAAUUAUUUUAUUGAAACAGUGACUUAUCCAUGAUAAACAGUGCAUUCAAACAGGUACCAAGACAUUCAAAUAGAAACAAGGCUUCUCUCGAUGAAGUGCGAUGUUUUUAUUAAAGAGGGGCCUAUCUAAAGUUACAUGUAUGGUCAUCAUGCAUUCACCCAUAAUCAUGAUGUUAUCACCCUUGCAUCAAUGGGUUGGAGGGUCAUUAUGGGUGCACGUCCCCGCUUCUCCUCAUCAACGUCAACCUGUUGAUUGGACAGUUCUAAACGACGUUAGCAUUGUCAAUAUGAUUGCUCAUGCUUCAUUAGAUGAUUAUUCUCAAAAUAAAAUAAACUAAAUUUUGAGCUUUGGAAUACUUAGAUCUUACCCUCUUAUAUGGUUUCUACGUUAAAUUUUUUUUUUUUUUUUGACAAUGUUAACAUUUUAUUUAUUGAAAAUCAAUCAAUCGUUGAAAAUACAAUUGAUUACAAUGUAAAACACAGGUCCUCAUAAAGAACUAUAGAUGACAUCGAUUCUCACCUUUUAACUAAUCUACCAGCCACCAUAUUUGCCUCUCUACAGACGUGUGAAAGAACAUCCAAAGAUUCAUAUAUAUCUAUUAUAUGUGACCACAUCUAUCUCAAAUUCCACGGUACAACUUGUUAUUUCUCCUUAAAAAUUAAAAGACCUUGCAGAAGAUAUUUUAGCUCAUCUUGUUUUGUUGUUGCCCAAUGGAGUAACUGGACACUGUACAUAUAUGGUUGCAACCUUAUAGAAAUAAGGGUACACCUUAAAAGUUAAAUACAAAAGAGUAUUAUGAAGUUCCAAAAUAUUCCAAUUGAUCAUGUUGAUCUCAAGAUGUAUAUAUAAAAUGAGAAAAACAUAAGUUCAAAUCAUAAAAUUAGUACAUCUUGUAAUAGAUUUUUUAAACCUACUUUCAAAAUUUUCAAGCGUUUAUAAACCUGUUCCAUUUGCAUAAUUUUUAAAAUUUUAUUAUAAUUAAGACCAAACAUAGACGUCAAGCCACCGUAAGGUUUCAGACGCCUAAGCUACAUCUUUCUACAAAGUCUAAAGGUGCGUCUUAUGUAAAGAAUAAAUUAACACCUUAGACAAACCUCACCUAUUAUAUUUUGGUGGUUUUGAAUAUAAUAAAUUAUUACUAAAAAUUAUAUACUAUAAGACUAUUUAUCUUUGUUAUAAGGAGCUCACAUGAAUUAGAGGAUUAACACAUUCUAAAAAAAACUUUGGAAAAAGAUCUAAACCGCAUUCCCCUUUUUUGAAGAGAUCGUUUAAAAGGACAGAGUUUCUACCAAGACUAGGCUUUAUGAAAACUAAAUAAAGCGUUACCUUAAAUGCUCAUACGGAAAGUACUUUUAGCAAUAGAAAUCUCCAAACAUAAUGCAUACAAAAUUAAUUUUCAACACAGACAAUAAUAUUUGAAAUUUAAAAAAUGGUACAGAUCUUGCAGAUCUAUAAACCCUUGGUUUUAGGGUGAAAUGGACAGUUUAGAUAAUUUGUUACAACAUAAAUUAUUAUUAGAACUUAAAAUCCUAUUUUUCUUCACAACCAUAACAUUCAAGUCAAGCUGAUCAAUGUAAGGUUUUCUAAUACUUAAAUUAUAAUUGGAAAAUGGUUUGAUAGGGCUGAUGCCCUAUCAAAAUAAAUAAAACCUUACCUCAUGACUCAUCAAAAUUGCAGUUCAAGCAUUAGAAAACCUUUACAUCAACCGUACUGGCUUGAACAUUACGAUUAUAAAAAAAAAAAAGGAUUUCAAACCCUAAAAAUAGUAUAUAUUACAAUAAAAAAAUUAUAAAAAAAAAAAUUCAAGCUCUAAAAAUAAUAUAUAUUAUAAUAAAUUACCUAGCUUUGCACCUUAAAAGUAAGUGUUUUUUGAUUUGUAAGAUUUAUACAAUGUUUUGAGUUUCAAAUUUUAUUAUCGGUACUAAAAAUUAAUUUUAGAUCAAUAAUAGAUAUUCCCAUUGCCGAAAGUACUUUCCGAAUAAAGAUUUGAGGUGGCGCUUUAUUUUGUUUUCAUAAAAUCUGGACCAUCCAUUAUAAUUUUCGAUGAGUUAUGAAACGAGGUUUACUUAUUUGAUAGAUGAUGCGGCCUACCAUUUUCCUUCAAACGAAAAAAGUACUCUCCGAGACCCAUAAAGCAAUUAUUCUCGCUCUACACAUCCCAUCAAAAGCGAAAAUAAGAACAAAAAGAAGGCUCCUAUGCUGUUGUCAAUUUCUUUAUCCCAAAUGAUCGUCAAAUAUGGAGGGCGAUUCCAAUUCCCCGGCGACUGAACCCGAUUUUCCAGUGGCUUCCGGCGAAUUCCCUGUGGAUCUGUACAUCACCAAAAGGCCCAUACAUUUCGGCCCUUCAUAUCUAACUGUCACUGAUUUCAACGGCGAUCCGGUCUUCACCGUUCAUCACAAAUUUCGCAGCAAAACUCGCCUCUUGCUCGAUUCAUCAAAAAACCCCAUACUUUCCAUCCAUGAAAAUGUAAGCCCCCUUCUUCUUUUUCUUCUUUUUUUUUUCUCUAUUUUUUUGUUAUUGGGUUUUUUCAGCAGAUAAUUUUAUUGGGUUUUUUUAGCACAUAAUUUUUGUUAAAUUAAUGGGCGAUUUUUUCAUCAGGGUUUAUUAUGUGAAGCUUUCCGAGUAAUUGACGGCGAGAAGAGAGAUAAGAUUUUCAGUGUCAAAAGAUCGGAAUUUUCUCGAUUUAAAACGGAAUUGGAGGUUUUUAUUGAGCCUGAAAAUAUUUAUGGAAAUUAUAAAAUUGACAAUAUUGGUGAUGACACAAUUUACUAUGAUAAUCAAGGGGAGGAAAUCUGCGAUUUAGUAGUAAAGGGCAGCCCUUAUCGAAGAUCAUGCAGCGUUUACAGGGGAUGCUCGAUAGUUGCUCAGGUAAUUGCCAUUUUAUUCUAUUUUAUGUGUUUUUAUUCUAUUUUUAUGUUUUUUUAUUUCUUUAUAUUUCCUUUAUUCAAAUUUUUUUUUUUUUGGAAACAUGGGUUUUAAAAUUCAAGUUUGAUUGGUUUUAAAAAAUUUCGGCGGAUUUUUUUGGGCCAUUGAAAUUUUAGGGGUGUUUUUUCUUUUAGCCUCAAAUUGGGCACAUAUUCACCUAAUUUUAGCCAAUUCGGUCCUUUUUUUCUUGUUCAUUGUCUUCUCUUUAUUAUUUUCUUUUUUUAUUUAUUGGAGUAAUUAUUUUCUAAAUUUCACGGCCAGUUCAAGCUAUAUUGCGUUUAGAAAAAAUACAAUUAUGGUGUAUCUUUUUAGUGAAAUUUGAAUGUUUUCCUGAUCACACAGUGGUGGUUAAUUUGAAAUUGUGAUUAUUUGAAUUUUAGUAUCUUGAUUACAUUUGAUAUCGUUUUACUUAGGAAAAGCCUUAUAAAUCUAUGGGCGAAGUUGAAUAGUGUUUAGCUCAGUUGCGAUUUUGUCUUAAAAGUCAUAAUGGCUCCACAACCGCGUGGUGGCUUCAUUUUUCUUAUGGUUUCUUGAUUAUAUCUAAUUUUACUCUCUCGUAUCUCCUUAUUAACUGAGAAUCACAUGCACAAAUUAUCUUUGCACAUACUAUUUUUUGCCUAAUUGAGUGAGUUUUUGUCAAAUUUUUGGUGAAAAAAUCUCUUUUGUUAAUUUUGCAUUGUUAUGCUUUUUUCUCUUCUUUUUUUUUUUGUAAAUUCGAUGAGUAUUUCAGUUCUGGUUUUAAUGAAAUUCUAAAUAAUGCUUUAUUAUGUUGAAAUGGGUUUAAACUCUUGAGGUGAAAUGAAUGAUUUAUGAUAUUGGGUUUUGCAGAUGUGUCCCUUGCACAGGCUUCGAAGGAUUGUGGUGGGAAGGUUCAAGUUUCGGCUCACUCUUUUUCCUGGAGUUGAUCAAGCUCUAAUUUUGGCGUUAAUUGUAAUAUUCUUAAAAUAGUAUAAUUUAGGAUAACACAAGCGCACACACACCAUCUAGGGUUUCAGGCGACUGUAGACCGAGGUUUAAAAAUCAGAUCCGAUUUUUCCCGUUCAAACUGGAACAUAUGGUUGACAGGUCCGAGUCCCUCGGAAAUGGGGAUGGGAACAAUUCAUCCAGGGAUAAUGUUUUUAUGUGUUUUAAUGUUAUAAAGAAAAACUUUGCUUUCAUAUUGAUUUGGCAAGCUUCUUUAAAAAAAAUUAAAUAACCGGCACUGUUUUGGGCCUCAUUAAUCAAAAUUAUGUCAUUUGUGAACAACAUGCACCACUGUAUCUCAUUUUAUAGUUAUAUGGUUAAGUCGUCUAUAAUUGAGACAAAGAGGUAUGGGCUCAAUGCUGACCCUUGAUAUAAAUUUAUUGUCACUAAAAACUUACAUAUUUUUCCACUAGUUGUUUGUAUACUAGUCAGCUAUUCAUCGUACAUAUCUCUCACCAAGUUAAUAUAUGGUUUGAAGACUCAUUUCUUUCUCAAUACUCGUCAAAUCAAAUAUCGAGGUACUCUAUCAUAAGCUUUUUCUAGAUCAAUAAAUACCAUGUGGAGGUAUUUUCCCUUCAUCUUAAACUUCUCAAUGAAUUACCUAAGUAAGAAAAUAGUCAUAGUUGUUGUCUUUUCUGGCAUAAAACUAAAUUGGUUUUCAGAUACAUUUGUUUCAUACUUUAGUCGUUGUUCAAUCACUCUCUCUUAAAGCUUCAUAGUAUAACUCAUAAGCUUACUCUUUCGAUAGUUCGUACAUUUUUGUAUGUCUCAUUUGUUCUUGUCAAUAGGUAUCACAAUAUUUUUCCUCUAUUCGUCUGACAUUUUUUCUUUCUCAACACCUUGUUGAGCAGCUUUGUCAGCCACUCAAUGUCAAUCUUCCUCAUGCACUUUUAAACCUCUAUCGGGAUUUCAUAUGGUCCUAAAGCUUUUUCUUUCUUCAUCAUUUUCAAAGUUUAUUUCACUUCUAAAAUCCUAAUGAUACGAAUGUAUUUAUGACAUCCGCCCUCAUUUGUACAAACAGUUUCUUCUAUUUCCAUUGUGUUCGUCACUUAAUAAAUUUUGAAAAUAAACUUUUCACCUUUCGUUGACAUCGUCAUCCUUCACUAAUAACUUUUGACUUUCGCUCUUAAUGAGUAAGUUUUCACGGUAUUUUAUUCAUGAUUUAUCGCUAUCUAAAAUUCGUCAUAAAUCAUAGUUGUCUUAUACUAUUUAAAUUUUAAUAAAAAAUUUUGCAAGUCAUAUUUAUUUGAAAAUUAAGGUUUGUGAAUAUCUAACUAACUCAUACCUAAACAAAUAUUAGAAAAGUUAUCAAAAAAAAUAAAAUGAUUAAAGUACCUUUAAAAAUUAUAAGGGUAAUUUGGUCAUUUUAUUAUUAGAAUUAUAUUUUUAUAUUUUAUUUAGGUGCGCUUUACUAAAGCCCACACACACAAAAUUUUAGGUGAAUCAAAUUUUUUUUCAAAAAAUUGAAAUUCAAAAACUACCUAACAAUCAUGAUCUUUGGAUGGACUUUAGACAAUGAUAGAGCGUAAGUGAAACGUUGUAGAAAUUCAUUUUCCUAUAGAUGCAUGAUACAAAAGCCGCAUAAAUACAUGAUGCAAAAGCUGCAUAAUCUAGCCAAGCAUGCCAUUUAAAAUCCAUGUAUCGUGGACUAUUUAACAUCCUUUGAUUCCUUUCUCUUGUUCUUGUUUUUAUUUUAUCAUUUCAUUGAUUCGGCAAUCCAAAUGAGAAACAAUGGGUGGACAAUUUACCCCAACAAUCUGUUUUUAAAUUACGAUCGUUUUUAAAACACAGCCCAUGAUAUUAAUCUAUCUAAUUAUGAGAAAUAACCAAGGUUUUAAAAAACAGUUUGGUGAACCGUAUUAUAUAUUUGGAAUUAUGAUCCAAUCUACUAUACCAAACAUUAACAAGCUAAAUAAAAAAUAAAAAGUAUAAAAAAAAGUAGGGCCAGUUCAGACCAGUUCUAUGAAUAGAACCGGCCUGUUCUAUCAAAAAACCGGCCAAAAUAGAUUGUCUCUUCGAUUCGGUAGGAACCAGUUCGCCGCUAACAAUUCUCCAUUCCAAUCAUUGUUUAUUUAAACCUAGGAAAUAACAAAAGAAAAAGGACCAAGUUUUAUAUAGAGCCGAGGCUCUAAACAAUCAAAUUAGAGCCCACUUAAAAAAAUCCAAUAGAAGAGGUUGUUUUGAUGCCCAAAUAUCCUCAAAUUGAUCAUCUCGACAUCCAGCUGCAUAGACAUGAGAAAAUAAAAGAUUUCAAGUUUUAGAAAUAGUGCAUCUUGUAACAUAUUUUUUGACCGUCAAUUUUCAAUAUUUUCAAGUUUUUAUACAUCUGCUCGAUCAACCCUACUUUUGAAAGUUUAAAUUUUAUAUUUAAAGAUGAAAAUAUAUUUUAAGACUAUCACAAAAAUUUCUAAUAUUGAAACAACAUUUCUCAACACUAUUUGAGGGUGGGCUCUAGUUUGAUUGCUUAGAGACUCGCUCCAUACCAACUGCACCAAAAAAAAAAAUGCAUCAGAAACCAAAUCCAGCAUUUAUCGGUAUUGCCUUGCUAUUGUUCUCUAAACCAAAGAAUCGCAUUUGUUCACAAGAGUACUACGACUAGAGAAAGACCUUUUGUGUUGCAUGGACUCGCUACAACCUGGUCCUAGGUGGGGCCACCAUUUGCCCUAGCUUGCCCCUUGCCCGCGUAGGGCUGGCCCACCCUUGUGUUAUGAUGGCUUAGUCCACGGGCUACAUUUUGUGGCCCAUGCUCUAGUUUUUUUCGAGCUGAGCGGAUCUUGUUGUGCGCGCAGAAGCUUUAAACCCAAUGAAUUGAUUUUUGACAAAUAAAAUAUGAAAUACAUCUACAAUAACAUAAAUAUUUACGUGGUUCACCCAAUAGAGCUAUAUCCACGGACACGGCAAAUAAAAUCCACUAUAUCAAUAAAAGUUACAUCAAAGAUAUUCUUACCUCUCUUACUCUCAACAAAUCACGUCAACAAAACCAAGUCGAGCAAACAUUUUUAAACCACUCUCCCUUCAUUUUCUUUAGUUCUGGCAGUUAUUAAUGACAACAUUAGAUGGAGAUGCAAGAAUAAUAAGAAAUUGACUUUCUCUCUAAUUAAAAAGGAAACAACUCAAAAUUUCUAUGAGAAUCGUUUCUCUAUAAAAAAAAAGCAUCUCAAUCUUCAUGAAGCACCAUCCCAAUGUUUCUCUACAUAAAAAGCUUUACUCUCUAAGAGGAAAUCUUGCAUCUUAUACAUAGGAGGCAUUGCCCCCUCCCCACCCUCUCUCUCUCUAGAGGAAACCAUUAUUCUCAUAUGGUAACUCAGAACGCAAAUUCUAUGCACUUUCAUCCCAAAUAUAUAAGAUUAUGAGUCCAUAUCAAAUAUAUAAGAUUAAGAGUCCAUACUAAAUGUUCUUUUUUUUUUGUUUUUAUAUUAAUUUUUUUGAUGUAUAAUUUUCUCCCUUUAGAUAGAUAAUUGGUUGUUCUGCCUCUGAAAAUACAUGCACUGUGGCUCGUUAAUUUAUAUUCACGAAAAGCAACCCAACUCUAUGUUAGCCCAUUCUCAAGAUGAUCCAAGCCGCAUCUAAAAAUUCAGGCUCGGGCCUAACCCAGCAAGGGCCUCCAAUCUGAUUCUCCUAUUUUGACUCGAACGAUUCCCUAGUGAAGCCGAGUUACAAUUAUUAAAAAACUUAAAAAAAAUUAAAAAUUGGGAAACUUUGGUGAUUUAUUUGAUUGUCUACUUCCUCGUUCUAAUCUGACUUGGCUAGAUUCAAGUUGAUCGAACUUUGCUGGAUUAAAUUAAGGGAGAUUUUUAGUCACUAAUCCAAGAUACAUGACAAUGUCCCCCUUCAAUAUUCUCUAUUUGAUUCAAAUAUAUUAUUGGGAAAAUAUCAUUAAAGAGCCAAAACACCAUGUGAAAUGAUUUAGGGGGUCAACAGAGCUCAAUUAAUUUUAUAUGAUUAAUUUUGUAAUUUUUAUUUCAUUCAAAUUUCUUCUAAAAAUUGUUAUAAAAAAAUAGAUAAAUUGUCCUCAUUUAGACUUGAGAAGCUGAACAAGGACUCAGGUUUUAGCAAUUUGACCAAUGAUAGACAAGCAAUGGUACUCUUAUCGUUUAAUUGCAGCCUCUUAAGUAUGCUAAAUAUGCCCUUAUCGCUAUAGAAUUCUCAAUCUUGAACAAGGACAAAGCAUUUUGAAGGAUAUUUUUACAAUGAGAUAUUUGAAUGAAAUGAAAAUAAAAAAUAAAACCCUCAAUGCUAAUUGACUAUUUUAACCCGCUCCUUAAAUGAUAUUUUCCAUGUAAAGCCGUCUCUCUUUCUUGGAGAUGGUGCAUGAGAUAAUCGGCAUGUAAGAUACAGCUAUGAAAAGAGAAGCCUAUUAAUUAAAAAUUUACAAAUAUAUGUCAUAAAAUUAAAAUCGAUAAGGAGUAUGGCUAUUUAAGAGGGUAGCAUUUAAAUAUGAAUUGGUAGCAUUUAAAUAUGCCUUUAAAUAUUGCACGGAAUACAAACGUCAUCAAUUGAAACGUUAUAUUGAAAGCAAAGUCAUAAGAAGGCGUGUACUCAAAAAUAAUUUAUUGGGAGUAAGUCAAGUAAAACACAAGAAUUACAUAUGAAGUAAAAAGCUUGAAAUAACUAAAACUAAAAAUAAUAAUAAUAAAAUAAUAAUAAUAAUUUUUUUAUAUAAGGUUGACGGCUUAAAUUGAAGAAUUAAGUUCCACCUCAAAACUCCGUUGGAAAAAGCUAUUUUGAUAUUGAAAAACCACCUAAUUGAUCAUCUUGACAUCGAGAUGUGUAGAUAUGAAAAAAAUAAUUUCAUGUCCUGAAAAUUAUAUAUUAUAUAAUAUAUUAUUUGGACUGUCUAUUUUUAAGACUUUCAUAUGUUGAUAGAUUUGCUUGAUUUGAACUAUUUAGUUUAGAAUUUUAUAAUUAGAGAUGAAAACAUAUUCUUGGGCCAUUCUAAAAUUUUUCAGCACCAAAAUUGCAUCUUAUGACUAAACUUGAAAGUGCACCUUACUUUGAUUGAUUAAGGUUGUAGCCUUAUGCCAAACUUAACCAUAACUAAAAGCCAAAAGUGGUUAUAUGAGGCAUUGAUUUAAAAAAAUCAAAAUAAGGCGCGCCAUUGACCUUUUUGAACGAUUGAGUUGAAAAGCUUUUACGAUAACUUAAAAAUCUAUUUUCAUAUUUGAUUGUAAAUUUUAAAGCUUUAAAAUUUGUGUAGAUCAAGUAGAUACGUAAAUACUUUAAAAUUUUGAAAUAGAUUAUCUAGAUAAUAUGUCAUAAAAUGUAUUAUUUUUAGGACUUAAAAUCAUUUCUCUCAUAUCCAUGCAUUUUGAGGUCGGGACAUGGAUUUCCAUAUCCGAAAUAAAUUUUAUGGAUUAACUUUUAAAUUUUACCUCAAAUUAUAUUAUAAGUUUCAUGCCUUGUGUAAACUUUUUUUUUGGAAGAAAUUAAAAGAAAAAUACCUAAAACUAAAUUAAAAAGGUCAAAGAAAGUAUAUAGUAGUCACUUCCAAAAUUUCAACGAAGUCGUCAAGUUCUUUCUCGAAAUAAGCGUUAAACAUGGGUACUAAAAAUAAAUAAAUAAGUGCAGUUUGUAAAAGGUUACAACCCUAUUUUUAGUGGGAUGGUAAAAAUUUCACAAAACUUUUAAGUUGAUAUCAAAAGAUAACACCUUCAACUAAAGCUUCAACUAAAGCUGAGGUCCUAAACAAUAUAAUUAAGGCGCACCUUCAAAUAAUGUCAAGAUGUUCAUUUCAAUAUCAUAAAUUACUAGAAUAGCUUUAAAAUUUAUUUUUAUUUUGAUGUUUAAAAAAUUUAUUUUUAUCUUUACUUACAAAAUUUAAAAAUAAAAAAGAAAAUAUCUCUUUAUCCUAUAUUUUUAACUUUCAUAUCUCAUAAGACUCAAAAAUUAAAAAUAUUACUUGUAAGCAAAAUGUCUCCAUCUUUUAUAUCUUACAACUCCUGAACGAUAAAUUUUUGACUCAAACAAACACUAAAAUAACACCCUAUUCAAACUCAUCUCUCUCUUUUUUCGCUUCUCGGUGAGUUUACCGGUCAAGAAGUUUAACUUGAGCUUGAACACGAGCACACCUUCUUAUGUGUGAGAGAGAGAUGGAGUUUGGGUUUUAGAGAGAGAUGAAGUUUUAGAGAGAGAUAGAGUUUUGAGAGAGAGACAUGAUGUGAGAGAGAGAUGGAAUUUAGAGAAAGAGAGAUAGAGUCAUUUUAUAAGUUGUUGAGAUCAAUAAUACACGGUCAAAAGGGUUUAGGGGGUUAGAAGAUAAAAAAAAUAGAGUUUUUUUUCUUAUCAGUAAUAUUUUCAAUUCUCGAAUCUGAUGAGAUAUAGAAGUUAAACAUAUGAGAUAUAGAAGUUAAACAUAGGCGAUAAUAAGAUAUUUUUCCUAUUUUUAUAUAAUAGUAAUGGAUAGAGUUUAUGUGAAUUGGCUUGCUUAUCUAUUAAUUUAGCCCUCUCUUCCAAAUCCAUUUUAAAGAUAGAGUUUAGAUUCAACAUUUUAGGAAAUGAAAAUCUCAACUAUAGUGAGUACGAAUAUAAAAUAAAUAAAUUUUAAAAAUAAAAAAUGACAUUUGUAUAAAAUAUUCACACAUUCACACAAUUAGUUUUAAAUUUUAAGGGACCACCAAUUUCUAACAUCCAUGGAUGUUUAAUGCAUAAGAUGAUGUACAAAAAUAUUGCAGAAGUGCGUCCCCUUUCACAUAAAUAACUUUUUUACAUCAAAUUUACACCUUCAAAAUAAAAUAGAUGGUGUGGAUUAUUACAAUCUUACUUCUAUAAAUAAAACUGCACCUCGUGGUAUCUUUGUGUUUUUGUAGUACCCAUUUUUAACAUUUAUACCUUACAAAUAGGUGAAUUUUGAAAAAAAAUAAAUUUAUAUAAAAUUGUAACUUUUUUUUUGUUAUUGAAAUAAGGUUGUCACUUAUUUUAUUUAGAUAAUACAUAUUAAAUAUUAUUUUUAAAAAUAUAUAAUAUUUUAAUAUUAUUUUUAAAAAUAUACCAAAUUUACACCGUCCAAAUAAGAUGAGUAUUUUAAAUAUCGGAACCUCAUUUCCACCGGUUACAACCUUAAAAAAAGGUGAUAGAAAUGGGGGCAAUUGCACUACGCUCUCUCUCCCUCACAUCUGGAUUUUUCCGCGAAACAAAUUCCAAAAAAUAAAAAAAACAAAAUAUUAAAAUAUAAAAAGUCAAAAGAAAGGAGAAAAAUAGAAAAAGACAAGAAAAAGGGGUGGAGAGAGAGAAAAAAGAAAAACGAGAGAAAGUCAUUUUAUGUUGCUGAUGACAAAGCCUGCUAAAAAAGCGCAGAAACCAAUUCUUCUCUUCUUUUUUGUAAGAAAUCCUCAGCUUCUUUACACAGAGAGUGAGACGCUUUUCUAGGGUUUUCUGCUAUACCCAAAAGAUUGAGGCUCUGUAAAUUUUAGCUUAUACAAAAGCCAAUUCAGACUUAAAGAAGAGACACACACAAAAGUUUGAUUUCUCGAUGCCCUAGGGUCUCACUUAUCUGAAACUGUCUUUUACUUCUUCAACAAUGUCAUCUUCUGUUUCUGUUCGUGUGGAGAAAGCCACUAGCGAUCUCUUGAUCGGGCCUGACUGGACCAUGAAUCUUGAGAUAUGUGACUCCAUCAAUUCUGACCAAUGGUUAGAACUGGAGCUUCAGUUUUGGAUGCCCCGAUUUUCAUUUCUCUGAUCAUUUAUAGCUGUUGAUUAACCAGUUGAAUUCUAAUAUCUGUUUUUUUCUGUUGAUUCUUUUGAUGAAAUUUCAUGGAGGUAAUCUGGUUUUAAUAGUAUUUCGAUGAAUUUAUGUAAUUUGAUUGCAAUUUAUUGCAUCGUUUUAGUAUUACAUGCUAGAAAGUAUUUCUGUAUUGUGCGAUUCCAUGGAAUGGCUCUUGCCUUAAGUUUAUUAAUCCUUGUUGUAAGAAAUUCCUCAGCUGACCCUGUGGAAUUCAAGUUAUUGCACAGUUUCAUUGGUGACUGGGUUGUAAGAAAUUCCUUAGUUUCUUAUUCCGUGCUGUGUGUGUGUGCACACGCGCAAGCCUGUCCGUGCAUGCGUGAUAGCUAGUGCUGUGGAGACGUCUGGAUUUCAGUUCUCUUGUUCUAUUCUUAUAUAUCUUGGAAUGCAGCUUUAAGUUAGCUGGGACCUUUACCUUUAUAUGAAACUAGAAAACCAAGUUGGAUAGCUAUCUAGACAGCUCAUACAGCAUAAUGGUUCUUAUACAUACCAUUUCCUAGACCUGUAAUCAAUGAUUUAUUUGACCAUCCAUUCUCACCUUAGGCGGCUCCCCUUAUCAAUCAAUGCAUAUUGGAAAUCAAAUACUUUCAUAUGAUUUUUCUGAAAGAUUGUUAGAAAUAUAAAUUUAUUCUAGAAAUGCGUAUUGUAUUAUACUUUGAGAAUCAUCAUUAACCAGAAGUUCUAGAAUUACCUGACCCAACCAUGGCCCUAGGAAUGGAAGAUAACUGAAAAUAGAGAGAAGCAUUUUGCGUUUACUGUAACAUUGAAUUAUCUGAGCUGAUAUUUCAAUCGACUUGUCUUACGAAGUGGUCUUAACGUAAGCCAUGCCAUGUCAAAUUUGCAUGAUUGCAUUGACAUGAAUGAGUAUUAUCCUUCGAGAAUCAUCAAUAACCAGAAAUUUCUAGUAUUUACCUGACCUAAUCGUAGCCCUAGGAAUGAAGGAUAACUGAAAAUAGAGAGAAGCAUUUAGCAGUUACUGUAAGAUUGAAUUACCUUGGCUGAUAUUUCAAUUGACUUGUCUUAUUAAUCCAUGCCAUGUCAAUUUGCUUAAUUGCAUUGACAUGAAUGAUUCAUAAAAUGGGAAAAAUAUUUUUUGGUGUGAUUGUGUGAUUGCCUGUCCCCUAGUAAGCAUCCCAUUUCAUCCUAGUUUUCUGAGAUUUUUUGGUACUUCGUGUCAUAUUUUUUGAUAGUUUUAUGAGAUUGUACUAGAAAACAUUUUAGGUGGGUCUAAUGUCUUAGUUCUGUUUGAGAUGAUGCAGGCAUGCAAAAGAUGUUGUCAAAGCAGUUAAGAAGCGUCUUCAAAAUAAAAAUCCAAAAGUUCAACUGCUUGCCUUAACGGUAUGUUAUGGCUUCAAAGCUUGGUAUGCUUUUUCUAUAAGAUAUCUCUUUUUCCUUUGUUAUGUGCAUGUAAAAGAUUAACUAAUGAAAAAAAAUUAAAUAUCACUUAUUUCUAUUCAAAGCUAAGAAUCUAGGUUCCUCACUAGAGAUUUUGACAAUGCUUCUAGUUAAGAGCAUGUAAAACCCAACGGAAAAUAUCAAUACAAUGGUCAAACCACCUCAAAAAAUCGACGGGAUGGUGAAAUCAAUUAAUUUACUAACAAAAAGGUUACUUUUAAAAAUUAUUUUACAUAGGUACCUCAACUAUUUUGUCAGAAAAUCCCCAACCUGCCCUUGGUCCGUCUAGGUUUGGAACCCUGAACAAGCGAGGGUCAUUUUGGUAAAUCGAAAACUUAAGUACUAGAGCCAAAUGACCUAAAUACCCCUGCUUGUUUCAAGUUGCAAACCUAGAACAUGGUUUUUCAUUAAAAAAAUUUGUUCUCGGUUUGCAAGCAGGAACACAUGGUAUUUUGUGUCAUUAGGUUCAAAUGACUUUAAGUGGAGCUAAAUUACCAAAAUGUCUCAAACUUGAAACAAUUUCUUUUUUAAAAAUAAAAUAAAAAGGCAUGUUUCUGGUUUGAAACCUAGGCCAAGCAUUGGUAUUUAGGUCAUUUGGCUCAAGUGAGUUAAGUGGGUCAAUUACCAAAUGCCUUCAUUUGUUCAGGAUUAAAAACCUAUAACAAGGGUAGUUUUAGUUUUUUAAAGAAACUCUUGAGGUACCUAAAUGACAGUAUUUUAGAAGUGACCACUUUGAUGGUAAAUAUGUGGAUUUAACCACCUCGUUAAUUUUCUGGGGUAUUUUGACUUCCCAGAAAAAAAUAAUGCAACGUGAUAUCUGCUCAAAAUCUCAAUUAAAUAAUGAAACUAUAGUUUGUCAUUGCGGUGUUUAUCCCAUGUUCAUAAUAAUAAAUGAAAAAGUAAUAGCUGUAAUAUCUGCACAAAUAAAUAAUUAUUGGCAAUAUAACUAGUUUAAACGAACUUGGCCAUGUUAAAAGAUCAAACUCCCCCAUUAUUGCUGGAGACGUAUGGAAUAUGAGGCCAAAUCAUUGCCUUAUGCCCGACAAUAUAAAAAAUACUCUGUAGAAGAACAUAAUAUUUUCUUUUGAGGUUGAAUUAUUCUUUUUGCAGUGAUUAAUGGGAAUGUCUUUUAGAUCAGUUACUUGGUAUUGGUCGUGAUGAUGUUACUUUCUCUUGCAGCUUCUGGAGACAUUGAUAAAAAAUUGUGGUCAAUUUGUGCAUCUUCAAGUUGUUGAGAGAAAUAUUCUGCAAGAAAUGGUGAAAAUUGUGAAGAAAAAGGUCUAUUUGCGCAUAUGUGUUUCAAUUUCUCUAUAACUUUUUGAAUUUCUCUCUAACUCAUGCGUGAAGUUAGGGUAUUGCUCAACCUUAUUUGACUUGUUUUGUUAUUGUGUGCAUAUGUGGUUUUUGUUGUAUGCUUUAGGAGAAGUGUAAUGCUUAGUAACUUCUAUUUGGAACUUGUAAUGUUAAUGUUGAAUUUGUCUUACAUUCAGGAAAAUCAUUAGUCAUGGUCAUGUCGAAUGAACUGGGAGUUGUAGAACUUAAUAUAUAUUUCUCUAGGUGCAUUAUGUGUCCACUUAAUGAGUGUACGCUUGGAAGUUGGAUGGGAUGUUAAUUAUUUGUGGAUGUCUAAGGAUUUUAUCUUAUAAUCGUAUGCAAGCAUAUUGAUACUAUCAUUAUCAAUAAGAGAAUUUGUAUAAAACAGUUCUUAUUUUUUUCCUCCCUACCCCCCCCAAAAAAAAAAAAUGGCCACCCCAAAAACUUGUAUAAAAGAGCACUUACAAGCUUAGAAAUAAAAUGAGGAAUAACUGAACUCAGGUUUAGCAUGUCCAAGACUCAGCUGAUAGGUGUUUUUGGACGUUACAGUGAACUGGAAAGGUUGGCAAGAGGUAUUUGGUGUGGAACAGACAAGUUUCCAACAAAAUAUCUUGGCUUGCAGCUAUGUUUGGGCAAACUAUAAAAUUGUUUAUGGGAAGGGUCUUGGAGAAUAGGGAAUUAGCAUUAGGGAGGGCCAGAUUAUUGUCCACGGGAGGAAGAAUGACCACAAUAAAGUCCACUCUAGCUAACCUGCUAGUCUUCAUUAUUUCUUUAUUCUUGAUUCCACCAGUAGCAUAUGCAAUUGAGAAGUUGAUGAGAAGCUACCUUUGGGCAGGGUCAUUGGGAAAGCCUAAAUUCCACUUAGUUAGUUGGAACAAGUUCGUAGACCGAAAUGGCAAGGUAGAUAGGGUAUUCACAAGGUCAAUGAUAUCAAUAGGGUCCCAUUAACAAAAUGGUGGUAGAGAUUUGGGCAGCUGGUGGAUCAUCUAUGUAGGCAUGUAAAAUGCAAAUAUGGAUGUGAGCAGUUUUUUGGCUCGUGAAAGAACAUCGGACCAAAGGAGGCUCUUGAGCUGUCGGUCAAGUUAUAUUGGUAAAAUCGGAAUGUACGAAAUGGAAGCCUGGCAAGGUUUUGGAUGGACGCUGUUUUGGACCCUCUUCACCUUGAGCACAGUUUCCUGAACUGUUUCCUUUGACAACAAGCCAGGAAGUUACAGUUAAAGUAGUAGGGGAGGACAGCAAGCUAACUGGUCACCAGGUCUAACGAGUGCAUUACAAGAGGAGGAGAUUUGGAUAUUUGCAAAUAUGUUUGAAUCUCUACAUUAGAUAUGCUUUGGACCAAGUGGGAGGAAGAACUGAUCUGGGCUUAUAGUUUGCAGUCGGAUACUUGUUAACUGCUGUUAUAAGGACUUGGGGUAUUCCUGUCCCUCACAUGAGGCAAGGAUUUAUAUGGCUAUCUGCGUUGGACAAGGUGCUGACUAUCAAGGGGAUGUGGGAACAGUUGGUCUUCUCUUCAAAAAAAAAAAAAAAACAGUUGGUCUUCGGUCUUCUCUUCCUGCGUUGUCCCUUUGUAAUAUAAAUCAUGGAUGUACGCUCUGGAUCUAUCUAUGGGUACAUCCAGCCCCUGUAGAUGCUAUACUGAUACCCCUCUGCUACCGAAAAAUCCCUCUGCAGCUAAAAAAGAGCAUUAUCUUGUGGACUGACAAAAAUAGCACUGCCAUGGCUACUGUGGUUGUAAAUGAACAACAUAUUCUUCAAUGAGAGAAGUUGUUGGGCUCUUAAGAGUUCUAGAAAAUUUUUAGAGUCAUAGUUUGGGCCAGAGCUAGAAAAGAGUUCUGGGGAUAUUCUGUUUAAAAGUUUGAGACUCAGUGGAAAGAAAUUGUAAAUGAUAGGAGACAGAUUGAUGUGACCACGUAAGUAGGAUCCUUCUCCCAUGGGGUUUGUCCAAUUGAACCUUGACGGAAGUCCAAAAGAUUACCCUGGACCUGCAAGGGUGGGUGGAAAUUUUCCGGGAUCACCACAGUGAACUUUUGGUGAUAUACUCCGGAUCAGCACAUAAUUGUCAUGCAGAUGAGGCUCUGCUAUGUUCCCUGUUACAAGGAUUAAUAAACUUCGCCGAAGAUGGCCGAAGGAUAUUAUAGAAGGGGACUUAAGUAAUGUCAUAGGUAGCUACCAGGCAGGGAACUUGCUCAUGGAAUCAUUGAAAUGUGUUUGAUAAAGUUGAGUAGCUUAUUGAGAGGAUAGAGGUAUCCUAUAAACACAAUGGAGAGAUCCAAUAUUGAAGUGGACACAUUUGUGAGAGAAGGGAUAUCUAAAUGGUAUGUUAUACUGAAUCAUUUUGUGAUUUAAAGUUUUGUGAAUAGAGCCUAAUGUACGCAAACUCUUUUAGUUAAGGGUUGUACACUUGUAGGGAACGUAUUCUCUGGAUAUGCAGUUGCCACAUCAUGCUUACCCUUGGACAUGUAAACAAGAAGUGCUGGCUUUAAAUGAGGUGCUGGCUACAACAAACUCUGGAUUUGGGACAGAACCAACAUCCAUCACCUUAAAUUUCUCCACAAUAGUUAGGCUUAAUAAAUUUAGAUUUUGUAUUCUCGUUAGAAUUUUUGUUGAUUGUAUUCACCGAGAUCUAUUUCUUUUCCCAGCUUAAAACAAUAAUUGGAUGUAUAUUUCAUCAACUUUAGUAUUUUUUUCUUUUGAAGAAAUAUUUCAUCAACAUUGUAAAUUAACAGCAAAUGGAAAGGGAUAUAGGAGGCCUAUGGCAUACAAGACAGAGCUGCCACUGCUGUCUUAGCAGUUGCUAACUUAAGCACAAAUAUAUAAGGGUGAAGGAGAAUACCCUGAUGAUCCUUGAAUAUAGUCAGUAUUCAUUCUCCUUAAUGGAAAUUAUUUGGUGAGGACAUGUGCAAAAUCUAAAGAUGACCCCUCUCUUUUUGCUCCUGUAAAUGUGUUGGCAGACAUGUGGAUAUUCAGUUUUCCUUCUUAUUUCUAUUGUCUUUGUAUGGUAUAUUGUGCCACCCUUAUUGAGUUAUUUUUCUUAUCUUCACUUUCUUCAUUUGCUUCUUUCCACUAUGCGUAUUCCUGUGUUCCAUUAAUUUAAGGAAUGUCAUAUGAUAAAAUGACCUUGCCCUGGUUUCAGACAGAUAUGGAGGUGAGAGAUAAGAUUUUGGUGCUAUUAGAUUCGUGGCAAGAAGCAUUUGGGGGUCCAGGAGGAAAGUAUCCCCAAUAUUUUUUGGCUUAUGAUGAAUUACGGGUGAGUCUAAUGAACUUUCUGGCGGUGGAACCUUCAUAACAAAAUGUGGUAGUCCUGCUUGUACAUAAAGACAUUGUUGGACUAGAGGUGGUUGUGAAUCUGAGCUCAUUUCAUAGCUUCUCUGUUCUGUAGCCUUCAACUGAAAAUUUGUAAUUUUCAUUGAAGUUGCAGGCUUUAUUUCUAAGUUUGUUAUUUACUCUUUCUUGAAGUAAGAAUUGCUAUCAGUAUCUGUCAUCUUAUAUAAAUCUAACUAUACCAUCCUGGAUAGUCAUGAUUAUCAGAUUAUUGUAAAGGAACAUGUGCUAUUCUUCUCUUUCAGAUAACGAGUUCACAAUGUCAACAUGUUCAUGUACUUUGAUGUCUUUGCAAUGCCAUGUCUAUUAAUAUGUAGAGGCAUCAUACAAACUCUUGUGCAUCUAGGUGAAUGCUCUUGGAUUUGUAUGCAAGUGCAUGGUUCUGAUCUGACUUUAAGGGAUGACGGAAUUUUGUUACAAUUCAAACAACAAAAAUAUGGCAAAAUACCAUUCGUAGACAUACCAAAAGUUUAUCCAUCUCAUGUAAGUUUGAGGAAUUAGUUGCCUAUAUAAAUCACAAACUGUUGUUGUGUAGAAAAUGCAUCCCUUUAAGCCUAUCUAUAUGUAAUGAUUGCAGAGAUCUGGGGUAGAGUUCCCUCAACGUUCAGGAAAUACAGUUCCAGUCUUCACUCCUCCAGUUACACAUCCUAUAGCUAGACAUCCUCAAACAGGUUAUGGAAUGCCUCCUGAUGCUUCUAGGAGGCUGGAUGAGGCAAUGGCAUCUGAAAUGCAAGGUUUGAGGUAACACUUGGUUAUAUUUGUGAUUGUAAUUCUACUCCACUGUUCAAUUUCAUUUUCAACUUGCUUGAUAUGUACUAUGACAUGUCAUGCCUCUUUCCUCCCUCCACUCUAUAUGAUAUGGAUUUAUUUUAUCCAGUCUUAUGUUUCAGUUUAUCAAAUAUGGAUGCUAUCCGGAGUGUAAUGGAACUUUUGGCUGACAUGCUGCAAGCUGUGAAUCCAAAUGAUCGUAAUGUAAGUAGGCCAAUCCAGCAGAAAGGAUGAAAUCUAUUUUAUGCCUUUGGGCAUUGUGAAUUCUAAGGGGUUUACUUGUUUUGUCAUAAUCUUAUAAUAUUGUUCAAGAAGUAUAAUUGUUCAAAACAUUGUACAAAUAGCGGGUCUCAAUACAACUGUAUAGUAUAUUCAAGUUUUCCAGUAUCCAGCUGUGAAUCAUGUCUGGCAUCCAUUUGUCUGAUUAGUUGCAACCUCAUUCACGUGAGGAUUUGCACUAUGGGGUUCCAUUUGCGAGGCUUUUGAUGCUAAGCAAUAGAGAUACUUUCACGUGUGAAAUGAGUAAAUAUAUGAGAACUUGUGAAUGUGUACGAGUGCAGCUUGAGCUUUGUUGACAUGGCUUAACUGAGUGCUUUGCAACUUGUCUCUCUCAUAGUUAUUCUGAUGACUGCGGAAUGACAGUAGAUUACCAUAUGCUUUUUCAUACUGGUGGUUCCGUUUUCAUCUGGAUUCUAUACUAUUCCAACUCAUUAAGCAAAUAUCUCAUUAUAGUCGGAAAUUCCAGGGAGAGGUGACUAAUCUUUUCUUGGUUAGAUCUGUGAUAAUUGGUUUUUAAGUCUUUUAUCUCCAAGCGAAUGGGGCAGCGGGUAUGUGCAUUCUCUGUGAUCCUAACAGAUAUCUUGAUGGGUAUUUUCUUAGGCAUGGGGCUGGUAUAUGGUUUUCCUAGUGUGCCUCCAACUGAAGUUGUUACAUGAGAUGCAUGAGAUAUGCCCUUGUUUGUAUCUUUAUUGGACUUGUCAUCCUUGCACCAUUUUGUUAUUCAUAAUCUCUUUGUAGUGUCAUUCAACCUUGUCGCUUAUCACGGUGCUUUCAUUUAGGCUGUUAAAGAUGAAGUGAUUGUAGAUCUUGUUAGCCAAUGUCGCUCCAACAAAGGAAGGCUGAUGCAAUUGCUAAAUUCAACUUUGUAAGUUCUAAACAUGGUGGAUUCCAUUAACUUCACAUUUCAUAAAAAUAAUGCAAACCAUCAUUUUGGUGAUUAAUCAUUUUUAAACUUGUUUGGUCUUUUGAGUUUAAGAUUCUGGAUUGGUUUUCAAAGUCGUGAAUUCUUUUGCUGAUGGUUCAAGCUACAUUACAAUUAUGCUGUGGUUACUUGCUUUGACUACUCACUCUUUGUAAGGAAUGCAGGGAUGAGGAGCUUCUUGGACGGGGCCUUGCAUUGAAUGAUAACCUACAAAGUCUACUUGCCAAGCAUGAUGCCAUUGCAUCUGGUUCUCCCCUACCAUCAGAGCCUGUUGCUUCAAGUUCCACAAGAAUUUCUACUCCUGCACCCCUUGCAACUGCUCGUGGUGAAAAGGAUGAUGAAGAUGAAGAUGAUGAGGAUGAUGACUUUGCUCAACUUGCUCGCAGGUUAUACCUUAUGCUUUCUAUGACUCCCACAUGACGUCUGGUUUUCCAUUAUUAAUUGGGGAACCUAUUGAAUUGGGAAGUAGUUCGGCCAUAGGGCGCCAUUGCCGUCACAUCACUGAUUUCAAGUUUGAUGAUUGGAGAGUGGGUCCCUCCAUCAAACGUGCAAUUGGUUUGAACUGUACCAGGGCUGUCACACCUUCACCAUCCAACCUAUCAAUGGGAUGGUGAUCACCUAUAUUUCUACUCCUUUCUUUGAAGAUAAUCAGACUCACCAAAUUUAAAAACUGGGUUAGACUUAUAAAGAUUCAUAGGACUUUUCAGAAGACUUGGGCCAACACCAUGUCUUACUGGAGUUGCAGAAAAAAUAAUAGAAAUGUUCCAUGAAACUUCCUUGGAUUAUAUUCUCCGAGUUGUCACAGAACUUAGUCAACUUGGCUAGGACAAGGCUAAGUCCCACCAAUUGAGUUCAACUUUGCCUUCAAUUUUAAAUUAUGCGAGGUGUGAGGACAUUGGAUUUACUUAAUAACUCCAAGGCUGAGUUUUUUAUGGCCUUGCUUUUCUCAUCUAUGUUGUUGCUAUUCCCAGCCAAAAUGAGUGGGAGUAGCAAAGCACCAGAUUGCCAGUAUUUUUUUAGGGUGGAAGUAGCAAAAGCAAAUAUUCAUGUGAAGUUGCUUUUCUCUUCACUACUUAAGUAUGAAUUUAGGGUGGAAGUAGCAAAAGCAAAUAUUCAUGUGAAGUUGCUUUUCUCUUCACUACUUAAGUAUGAAUUUUUUCAUGUGAGUACAUCUUUAUUCAUUAAAAACAACUUGCAUAUGUCCAGGCCUUCAAAAGCCUGGCCAGUACCUUCUCAUGGCUUAUCUGGUGAAACCAGUAACAAGUUUGAUUCAGCCCAGUUGAAUGACCCAUCAGUGACAACCUCAAAUACAACCAAUGCUGCAGCUACAUCUACAUCUACAACUACCAACACAAACUCCAUAUUUAGCGGUCCAUUAGCUUUACCGGAGCCCCCACAACCAGUAAGAACGACCACAAAAGCGCUGGACAUGAUCGACCUCUUGAGCAACACUCUAGCCACCAGUUCUUCACCUCACACCCCUCUCACUCCUCACAUCCCUCUCACUCCACCGCAUGUCGGUCCCACUUCACCUUCUUUCACUACAAACCAACCUCACACCCCUAUGGGCCCUAUGUCACCUUCUCUCACCACAAAGCAACGUCAUACCCAUGCAGGCCCUAUGUCACGUUCUCUCUCUACAAACCAACCUCAAACCCCUCGCACCCCCACAGGCCCUACAUCACCUUCUCUCACCACAAACCAACCUCACACCCCUUUCUCUCCUCCUACCCCGUCAGGACCUGCAUCAUCGUCUUCCACCUCACACCGACCUCCAUACACUAACCAUGCAGACCCAUCUUCUCACCAAUCCUCCAUCACCCCAAAUGCUCAAGGUUACCCCUACAAUCCUACUCCAUACCUCAAUCAUCAAGGGCAAGUUCAAGUCCCAUACAACACUUACGUUGCACCUUGGGCUCAACAACCUAGAUUCACCCAGUCUCCAAUACAGAACCCAUCUAGUGUUUAUCCUCCUCCACCUUGGGCUACUGCAAAUUUGGGUUCUGGGGCUCCUAUACAACAAAACCCUUAUCAAUUCCCGGUCUCUCAAUCGAAUCCCACUACUACUUACUCCCCUCAAAAGGCAUCGCCAACUUCUCUUCAGCAGAAUUACUCUUUUGGAUCGAGGGUCAACAAUGCAACCCCAUCUUUGGGGGGUGAAGCAAGCAAUGUACAAAGGCAAGCACCUCAGAGAUCGUUCAUUUCGGCUGAUCACUAUUUUGAGGGCCUCAUUGACUUGAAAGGCGCAAAGGGAAGUAGCACCUCACCAAAAAUGAACAGGGAAGGUACAUUAGGUGGAAGAAAGUGAACUUUUGUAUUAAUUGUGUUGCAUAUUUGAGGGAAUUUGGAAUUCAUUUGAUGGUAUGUAUAUGUGAUGGUUGCCAUUGCAAGUAUGUUGUUUGUUGCAUUAAUGUUUCUAUACUAUGUGUCUGUGUUUUUAGUUUUUGUUCUUGCUGCAAAUUAUUUUCCUUCUUUAUACGCUCAACACACGAACCUUGACAAGAUAAUGAACACUGCCAGAAGCUACCUAGGUUCACAAAGUGUGCUAGUAUUGAGCAAAUUCUGGUAUGUAAUUAGAACUUAUGCUGAUUUCUGUCCUAUGUAACAAAGGCAUUUGUGCAGCCUAUGGUAAUUGAUAUACGUAUCGUUUUAAUUAGAAUUAGCACCAGAAUUGAUUAUGGCCUUUAAAUCGAUUUGUGAGAUAGAAAUGUGGUGAUCUUUAGGAGAUGGUAAGUUGCUUUACUUUGGGAAGAACUUGGAUUUGGGUCAGUAGUUACAUGAUUUACAUUUUGAAUCCCAAAUCUUAAUCAGAAGGUAAGCUUUCAGACACUGAUGAUGNNNNNNNNNNNNNNNNNNNNNNNNNNNNNNNNNNNNNNNNNNNNNNNNNNNNNNNNNNNNNNNNNNNNNNNNNNNNNNNNNNNNNNNNNNNNNNNNNNNNNNNNNNNNNNNNNNNNNNNNNNNNNNNNNNNNNNNNNNNNNNNNNNNNNNNNNNNNNNNNNNNNNNNNNNNNNNNNNNNNNNNNNNNNNNNNNNNNNNNNNNNNNNNNNNNNNNNNNNNNNNNNNNNNNNNNNNNNNNNNNNNNNNNNNNNNNNNNNNNNNNNNNNNNNNNNNNNNNNNNNNNNNNNNNNNNNNNNNNNNNNNNNNNNNNNNNNNNNNNNNNNNNNNNNNNNNNNNNNNNNNNNNNNNNNNNNNNNNNNNNNNNNNNNNNNNNNNNNNNNNNNNNNNNNNNNNNNNNNNNNNNNNNNNNNNNNNNNNNNNNNNNNNNNNNNNNNNNNNNNNNNNNNNNNNNNNNNNNNNNNNNNNNNNNNNNNNNNNNNNNNNNNNNNNNNNNNNNNNNNNNNNNNNNNNNNNNNNNNNNNNNNNNNNNNNNNNNNNNNNNNNNNNNNNNNNNNNNNNNNNNNNNNNNNNNNNNNNNNNNNNNNNNNNNNNNNNNNNNNNNNNNNNNNNNNNNNNNNNNNNNNNNNNNNNNNNNNNNNNNNNNNNNNNNNNNNNNNNNNNNNNNNNNNNNNNNNNNNNNNNNNNNNNNNNNNNNNNNNNNNNNNNNNNNNNNNNNNNNNNNNNNNNNNNNNNNNNNNNNNNNNNNNNNNNNNNNNNNNNNNNNNNNNNNNNNNNNNNNNNNNNNNNNNNNNNNNNNNNNNNNNNNNNNNNNNNNNNNNNNNNNNNNNNNNNNNNNNNNNNNNNNNNNNNNNNNNNNNNNNNNNNNNNNNNNNNNNNNNNNNNNNNNNNNNNNNNNNNNNNNNNNNNNNNNNNNNNNNNNNNNNNNNNNNNNNNNNNNNNNNNNNNNNNNNNNNNNNNNNNNNNNNNNNNNNNNNNNNNNNNNNNNNNNNNNNNNNNNNNNNNNNNNNNNNNNNNNNNNNNNNNNNNNNNNNNNNNNNNNNNNNNNNNNNNNNNNNNNNNNNNNNNNNNNNNNNNNNNNNNNNNNNNNNNNNNNNNNNNNNNNNNNNNNNNNNNNNNNNNNNNNNNNNNNNNNNNNNNNNNNNNNNNNNNNNNNNNNNNNNNNNNNNNNNNNNNNNNNNNNNNNNNNNNNNNNNNNNNNNNNNNNNNNNNNNNNNNNNNNNNNNNNNNNNNNNNNNNNNNNNNNNNNNNNNNNNNNNNNNNNNNNNNNNNNNNNNNNNNNNNNNNNNNNNNNNNNNNNNNNNNNNNNNNNNNNNNNNNNNNNNNNNNNNNNNNNNNNNNNNNNNNNNNNNNNNNNNNNNNNNNNNNNNNNNNNNNNNNNNNNNNNNNNNNNNNNNNNNNNNNNNNNNNNNNNNNNNNNNNNNNNNNNNNNNNNNNNNNNNNNNNNNNNNNNNNNNNNNNNNNNNNNNNNNNNNNNNNNNNNNNNNNNNNNNNNNNNNNNNNNNNNNNNNNNNNNNNNNNNNNNNNNNNNNNNNNNNNNNNNNNNNNNNNNNNNNNNNNNNNNNNNNNNNNNNNNNNNNNNNNNNNNNNNNNNNNNNNNNNNNNNNNNNNNNNNNNNNNNNNNNNNNNNNNNNNNNNNNNNNNNNNNNNNNNNNNNNNNNNNNNNNNNNNNNNNNGGCUAAAAGAUUGUCCUAACUGGUAAUCCUUGUAGAGUUGCGGGUAUUCUGGUAUAGAAAAACCAUCUUCCAUUUAUAACAUAGAAUUUAUUUUACAAUGGGUGGUUCGGAUACCAAUUUGUAUUCCGAGUCUCUUGGAGCUUGACAGGUCUGAACCAUUUACUCUGGUGGUUUGUAACCUGUGCUUUUUACUCUGGUGAUUUGUAACAUGUGCUUGGUGUCUGAUCAAGUUGAUUGUGAAUGGAAUACAUUGUUUCUGGUCUGUUGCUGUACAUUUUAGGAACUCAUUUCUUUGUUGAUCUCAGCUUCUCUCCAAUUCUCAUAGUUUUGUGUUGCUCUGUGCUUUCCUUGGAGUGAUGAAAAUGGUCAUGGAACCAUUUGUUAGAGUGGUGCGAUGAAUCUCAGCUACAACAACACAUCUUUAUAUCUUUUUCUUGAGUCUUUAGGCCAUCUGCAUGUUGACUCUUCCUAAACAUAAAAGAGUUCGACUGGUUGACAAUCUCUCUCCCUCUCUCUCUCUCCUUCCCCAAUGGCAGCGUGAACAACCAGUUUAUCUUUUAAUGAACUUCUAGAAAAGGUCGAAGGUAUAAAUCACUGCACCAGAAAUACAAUAAAAAGAUUCAUAUACAAAAUCGAUGAAUCGAAGGAUUGGAAGAUUAUUCCCGUACAAAAGAGAGCCUCUCUGCCCAGCUAAUCUCAUCUUGUUCGCACGGUCCAAGUUUUCAUUUUCUGUUACCUCCUAGAAAUAGGUGAUCAAUCAACUGGCAGAUCUCUCCAUAACACGGGUGCGAUUGAUCCCCAGCUUUAAAAGUAUGAACCAUUCCAUUGAUGUCAAUCCAACUGCGCCCUCUCUUUCCUUACCCCUCUCUCUAACAUCAUUCUUCUUACCUUCAACACACCUGACCAGUUCCCAAUAGAAGCAUAACUGUUCGAUACCAAAACGUAUAUUCCUCCAUCAUGUGGCUCCAGCCGAAGAAGCUUCUCACCAACAGCCAUUGUCAUCUUCACAUCUUUAUGAAAACCAACAAGCACUGAGCAAUGAUGCCCAAAGUUCCGCAUCCGGCUCAACUGGCAUGCUCUCUACAAACUCAUAUGCUUCUUUCAAGAGCCGCGAUCAAGAAGAUCAACCAUGCAUGUGUAGUGCUCAAUACUGGGUGUUACUUUCUACUUGUAAAUCAUAGAAUUGAACAUUCUCCACCCUUCUCUCACCAGACCUGAGUGGCUACAAGCAGAAAGGAUUCCCACAAAAGUUAUGGUAUUUGGGGUGAUGCCUCUGGAUACUAUACACUCAAAAACCUUCAAUGCUUCAAUUCCGAGACCAUGUUUUCCAUAGCCAGUUAUUAGAGUUGUCCAAGAGAUGAUGUUUUUGCAGGGCAAGUUGUCAAAGCAUUGACGGGCAUCUUCCAUUGACCCUCCACACUUUGCAUACAUAUCCAUGAGACAGUUCCCAACAGGUAGGUAAGGUUCAAAUCCUUGCUUUAUCACAUGGCUAUGCACGCAUUUUCCUUGCAAUGUGAUUUAUAGAUAGAUACAUGCCGAGAUCGCACUGACCAUACUGUGAUGAAAUCUGGGUUCACACCUUCGAGCUUCAUGUGCUUGAAUGCUAAUAAGGCCAUGUCACUCUGGGCCCACUUAUCACAGCAAUCCAUGAAUCAGUGUCUCUAUUUGUGAUUUGCUUGAACAAUAGGCAUGCUUCAGAGGCCAUCUUGUGCCUAAAAUAGCAAGAUAGCAUCGCACUCGUCAAUGUUGGAUCUUUAUCAGGCAUUUCCUCGAACACUUGUAUGGAAUUUGAAAGGAGACCGCAUUUUGAGUACGUAUCCAUGAGAGAUGUCAUUAGGACAACGUUGACGCAUAAUCUGCUUGGUUUAGUUCUCUGGUUGUGCCCAAGGCCUGGAGGAGCGAAGAGAAGGUAGCUGAGUCGUUUUUGUGUUAUGGGGUGGUGGAUGGUAGUGAUCAAUCUUUUCAUGCCAUUGUGAAGGAUCAUUGGUUGAGAUUGCCCUUUAUAGACAUUCAUUUCUGUAUCCUUCCAAUCUCCACUGUCCCUCCAAUUGAGAGCAGACAAACAUGUAUGUUGUGUAUAAUACAGACUAUAGUCAUCCACAAUCCGUUCUUGAUAAUGGAUGGUGGAGAUUGAGCGCUUUCAAACUCGAUUCCCGAUCACACAAACAGUGACUGAUCUCAACCGUUGCAUAGGCGGUGGCCGGUGACGGGACGUUUUUUGGGCGAUGUACUAUUACCAUACACAUGAUGUCUCUUGUUUAGGGGUCUAAAAAGUCAGUGGUCAUGGUGUGUGGCUCUUUAUAUUUUGAAGUACCAUUUCAAGAUAAAAUUUAAAGGGCACGUUUGAAUGGACCAACAUUUUAAAUCAGGAGUUAAAGUCAAAACACAUUUAUUUUAUUGCAUUUUUUUGACAAAUGGGGUCAAAUGUCUUGCUUAAGUAUUCCGUGACUAGCGUUGCUUAAAAUUUUAGAAAACAGAACGGAGAAAUUUAUCAAAUUGUCUAGGAGAGAGAAACAAUUUAACUUUUCACCUGUAUCUCUCUCUCUACCAGCCCAAAUGUAGAUUUGGGCUGGGCUCGGGCCGUGCUUUACUAAGAAAAUUUCAAAAAACUUUCGGGCUGGCCUGUUGGCGGCCUUAGUGACAACAAAGUCGGCAUUGUUGUUGGAUUUAUUGCAAGUUUCAACAAAAAAUUAUUGAAGGUUUACUCUAAUCGCACUAGUGAAGUCUAUAAAAUUAUUGUUUAUUGGUUUUAAUAUAACUAUGCACUAAGGCAAUUCAUAAUCCAAAUCCGAAAUGUUUACAUUUCUAUAACUGACCUUUUCUUUUUAGCGUUUUGUAUUUUUUACCGAUUUUUUCCUUCCGACUUUUUAAAUUAAAGCCGAUUUAUUAUCAACAUUUUAGUCUGCCUAUAUUUUUAUUAUUCCCCAACUUCCUAACUAUGUAUAGGACACAGACGGCGCAUCAUUUUAACAUUACUUUGACCUUAACUUAAAUAAAAAAAAACUUAAGACGUGGGUGUUCAAAGAUAUUUUUUCCUGUAACUUUUUGCGGCGUUUAUCUUACCAUCGUUUGCACCACUUUUCUUGUUAAAAGAUCAAUAAAUCGGAUAACGUCUCUACAUAAAUUUGAAAUAUUAUUUUGGAAAAUUAUCGUAAAUAUAUCUUAAUUUAAGCUUAAUAAAAAAAAAAAAACUUCAAAUUUUUGUUUAUCUCGUCUGCACCUUUUUUCUUUAUUUUUGAUUUUUUUUUGUUUUUAUUUUUAUUUUUUAUCAAAAUGACCUUCACGGUAGUCGUAUUAUCAUAAUAGUUAGUGCAUGUUAUACAGUACUUUAAGUACCCUAAUGCUUAGGGAAUUUUAUAAUACUGAGGGUAUUUUAUACGGUACUUUAAGUACCGUAUACUUACACUAACCCUUAUACAGUAUUUUAAGUACCGUAAACACUAACACAUGUUAUACUGCACUUAAAAUGCCGUAAACCUUUUUUUCAAUUUAUCUCUUCAUCUCUAAUUUUAUUUAUGUUUAUCUAUUCUUUAUCUCUCUAAUUCUUUUUAAUAUGAAAAAAGUUUAUAUAAGGAUGCAGCCUUAUAAUGUAGAACUACGGAUGCACCUCAAAAAUCCAUCGAAAAAGGUAGUUUUAAUGUUAAAAAACCCUUUGAUUGAUCAUCUCGACACCGAGAUGUAUAACUAUGAAAAAUAAAAAGAUUUUAAGUAUCAGAAAUAGUGCAUUUUACAACAUAUUAUCUACACCGUCCAUUUUCAAGAUUUUCAUAUGUUUAUAGAUCUACUUGAUUUAACCAUUUUUUAAAUUUAAAAUUUUAUAAUUAGAUAUAAAAAUAGAUUUUGAGAUAAUCCUAAGAACAUUUUACAUCAAAAUUAUAUACCAUGACAAAAUUUGAAGGUGCUCCUUACCUCUACAGCUACGAAUGCAUUCGUAUGCCAACUGCACCCGGUUAAUAUUUAUCUCUUUUUUCCCCCUCUAAUUCUUUUUUAUCUCUUAUUUCUCUCUCUUCAAUCUCAUCAUCGUUUCCUUAGAAAGAGUAAUCAAACACUGACUUUGGCUAUGAAAAAAAAAAGAUAUGUGCUAUACAAGGAAAUGAUGAUGAGAUUUUAGAAAGAAAAAGAAUUAGAGAGAAAAAAGAGAUAAAUAUUAAGAAAAAAUUGAGAGAGAAAUAAGAGAUAAACAUAAAAAGAAUUAGAGAUGAAAGAGAUAAAUAGAAUGAGAAAGGAUUUACGGCUUUUUAAGUGUUAUAUAAGAUGGGUUAGUUUUUACUGUACUUAAAAUGCCGAAUAAUGAGUUUUAGUUUUUACGGUACUUAAAGUACCGUAAUUGGCUUCACGGUCAUGGCCAGAGUUUUACGGUAUUUAGAGUACCGUAAUAUUACUUGCAGUUACUAAGGUAUUUUAAAUACCAUAUAAAAUGAUAUAUAUUAUGGUAGUAAGAGUAUUGUGAAUGUCAUUUUGGUCCAAAAAGAGCCGAAAAUGAGAAAAAAUGGUGUAAACGAGGUAAAUAAAAGUUUUGGGUUUUUUUUCCAAUUAAGCUUAAAUUAAGUUGUAUUUACGAUAAUUUCCCUAUUAUUAAAGAAACCGACGACCACUAGCUUCCUUACGUGAGAUAUCGCGGCCAAAAAAUUGGAUGGUCCCCUUCAAUUUUAAGGCGUUAUUUUUUGUUUAAAAAAAAGUUUAUAUAAGGUUGACAUCUUAAAUUGUAGAAUUAAGGUGCACAUCAAUCGGAACAUGCUAUUUUGAAGUUGGAAAACCCUGUAAUUGAUCAUCUUGACAAUUUGCCAGAUGUAUUAUUUUGAUUUGAACCAUUUUUCAAGAUUAAAUAUUUGUAAUUAGAAAUAAAAAUAAAUUCUCAAGCCAUCUUAAAAAUUUAAAUACCAAAAUUACAUAUUAUAGAAAACUUUGGAGGUGGGUUACAAUCUUAUGCAAAAUUGACCCUUCUAUUAAACUUGGUAUAUGUAUUGUCAAGCUCCAUGAUGAGAUAUCUGACUUCAUUUUCACCAAAUGGUAGGCCCUAAAUCCCCACUAACUUACCAUUUUUUUCCACCUUAAUUACCAAAAAAAAAAACUCAGUAUAUUUGAAUUUCCCUUUUUCUUUGUGUUGAGGGACGUAUAAGUACAUUUGCAUCGUCCGAGGCAUCACAUAGUUGUGGUCUCUUAAAAUAAAGAAAGAAAAAUCAAUGGCUUAAGAACUUUCUUAAAAAAAUUACAAUUUUUAAUUUUAAAAAUUCACAUUGAUGUUCUCCAUGUUAAGAUUACCCGUGGGAUCACAUGCAUUGUACGUAGAAAUGAAAUUUAACAAUCACAUAAAUAAUUAUGUAAAUAUGUAAUCAAGAGUAUGUAGCUAUGUUUCAAGCAUUUAUAUAAAUAAUUUCGUAAAUAUGAGAUGGAAUAGUAUAUUGAUAUACGUUAAACGAUCACCUAAAUAAUUACAUGAUUUCCCAAUGAAAAAGUGCAUUAUAUAUAAAAACAUAUUCAUAAUAUUAUCUAUGAUUCUAAUUAUAUUAACAUAGUUGUUUUAAUAUUCAUUAUAAUAUUGAUUCUAAUAUUACUAUAAAAAUAGUUAAUGACAAUAAUUUAAAUUAUUAUCUUAAUUUUAAAUUUAUAUACUUUGAAAUAAAUAUUAAAAAAUAACAUGCAUUUGGCAUGUUAUUUCGUAAAAGGUGCCCUUUCUAUUACAUAAGUUAUAUAUGUGUGAUUAGGCCCAUACUUGGAAUGUGAAUAGGUUGUGAUAGAUGCCCAUGUAUAAAUACUUUAUACUAAAAUCAUUUUAAUUUUAAGUUUCAAACUUUAAAGUUUAAGAUCAUCUUCAAAAACAAAAUUAUAGAGUUCAAUAUCUAUUUAAACUUGGAUAAGAGUUAAUGGUAAUAUUUUUUUUUUCGAAGUAAAAAAUUGAAAGAGUUUUUUAAUUUUAACUUGGAACAUUGGAGGAGACUAAUGGUAAGUAUACUUGAAUUCACUAGUAUAAUAAUGAUAUCCCUCGAAUUCUUUUUCUGAUUUAUGUUAAAUCCAUUUGAUAUAAUAACCAAUGUCAUUAAAAUAGUCUUUUUCACGUUAAAUCCAUAUGUCUUCUUUUUCAUCGGAAACCUUUUCAACUUUCCUCUUCUCACAAAUAUCUUUACUUCACCAUGUGAAAAUUACUUUUCAUAAUAUGAAAAUUCACCUCUGAAAAUGAUAAUACAUGAAUUAUUAUAUUAAUUUUAAUGAAAUUGUAAAAAUAAAUAAAUAUAUAUUGGAAUAUAUAUAAUUAAAAACAUAUAAUUAUGAUAUUCAUUGAACAUCCUCAUGUUAAAUUGGUUUAUUAAUUCUUUUUAUUUUUAAUUGUAAAUUUUAAUAUAUGACUAUAUUUGAUAUCGCCUAUAGUUUAAAAGAAUUUGAGUUUUUAAAAGUAUGGUCAUAAAAUUUGUAUAUUAUGGAAAAAAUAUUAAAAAAUAUCAUAGACCUGUCAUUUUAUUUUUGUAGAAGAUGCCUUUUUUUAUUACUUAUUUUAUUGAUGUGUGAUUAUGCCUCACGCUUUGAAUAUAAUAUGAGUAGUACUUCAUAGAUCCCCGGUAUAAAUGUUUUAUGCCAAAUACCAUUUCAACUACAAUUUUCAAACUUCAGAUUUCAAUUAAUAGUAAUUUUUUUUUUUUUAAUUAGAAAAUUGGAAGAGAGUUAAAAGAAUUCAGAGCUUUCUAUUGAUUUAAAACUUCGACUAUUGGAAGAGUUUCCUUCUAAAUUAGAAAAUUGGAAGAGAGUUAAAAGAAUUCAUAGCUUCCUAUUGAGUUAAAACUUCGACUAUUGGAAGAGAAAAUGACAGAGAGAGGAAAUAAAAAAUAGAAAAUAAAUAAGAGAAAAGAGUUUUGAUAUUUAUCUAGUGGGUUUUUUUGGGCAGUUUGGAUUUUAAAAACGGAUGCACAUUUUGAAAAUGUUAUAUAGAGAGAUUUUUAGAAAAUCAUUCUCUCUUUCGAAGUAUUUUUCUUUCCCCUCUCUCUCAUACAUUUUUUUUCAUGUCAUAUCUCUUUCUCAUUUAUUUUUACUUUUUCUCUCCCUAAAAUAUCUCUCAUAUUUAUCUUUCUUAAAUCUCAUAUUCUUUCAUAUAUAUAUAUAUAUAUCAUAUCUCUCAACUUUCUUAUUCAUUUGGUUGUCAUCUGAGUGUGUCUUUUACCGGUUUGGAUUUUAAAAAUAGCAAGGAGAUACAACUUAUCUGAGUGUGUCUUUUACCGGUUUGGAUUUUAAAAACUCAUAGCAAGGAAAUGCAACUUUUAAAAAAUACGUCUCUAAAACUAGAGAGAUUUUUUUUAAGGAAGCCAUCUUAUCUCUUAUAUAUUUUUCUCUCUCCUCCCGUCUCUUACUGGACGUAUUUUUAUCUCUCCUCUCUCUCACAUGAAAAAUGGUAGCUAUUCUUCUUUUUUAAUAUUUUUUUUGGUUAUGUGGUUCUGGUGAACAAUAAAUUUUUUUUUUCUUCUCCUCUCUCUCACAUGUUUUUUACAAAAUGGUAACUAUUACUUUUUCUUCUUUUUUUUUGAAUAUUUUUUUUAGUUUUGAUAAAGAGUAUUUUUUUUAGUUUUGGUGAAGAUACGGUAAAUAAAGCUUAGUUCUCCCUAAGAGAGUAAGGAAAUACAACCCUUCUUUUUCUUUUUUAUAUAUAUUCAAUAGUAUUUAUCUCUAUUGUGUGAAUGCCCGUCUCUAAGGCCCAUUUAAACAAUAUGUUCACACAAUGCGCACCCAAACGCAUAUUUAAAGUCAUUUGGCCCUACAUUAUCUCUACACUUUUUAUUUUUACACUUGUCCAUCCGUACGUCGUUCGCUUAAUAAUGCAGGAAUAGAUAUAUAUCUAAAAGAUUAGGUAAAAAAUCAAUCUAAAAACUGAAUCAUGAAAGGGGUACUCAUAUUUAUAUACGAGUACUAGGAAUCAUACGAGUAUAGGCUUUUCAAAAAAAGAGUACUGGAUUGGUAAAAACCGUUUUUUAGAAUUGACGAAGGAUGCAUCCUAAAAGAGUAAUGAUUUUAGAGGACUUCCUCUAUGUUUAGGACUUCAAAGGAUCACAAUUAAAAUUGGUACGGAUUUCUAAAAAAGUUAUCAUAUGGAUGUAAAACUUGACUGUUCUAUAUAUCCGUAUCAAAUUUAAUGAUGAUCUUUUGGAACCCUACACACAUGGGUAAAAAAAGGUCCUAUAGGAUCAUUUCUCUUCCAAAACUUUUGGAAUCCUCAAAGUUGGGUUUUGUGAAAGGUAUCAAACGGAGCACGAAAGCAUUUAAAUUUUCCCUCCCACUUCUUUAAAUUUGCAGAUGAAUACUCCCAUCUUUAUUUAUCUUUGCAUAGCUUAUUCUAGGAUAUUGGUUAUUUUUUAUUGGACAGUUUAGAAUUUUCCCUCCUACUUCUUUAAAUUUUAAGAUGAAUACUCCCAUCUUUGCAUUGCUCAUCCUAGGAUAUUGGUUAUUUUUUAUUGGACAGUUUAGAAUAUAGUUUAAACAUGUCAUAAACUUUUUGUUUUUUUCUAAGUCGUGAGUUUAAAUUUGCAGAUUUAUCUCGGAUAGUUUUUUUUGGCCACUUCGUCCGUCUGGCUCAGCUCACAUCCUCUCAGUCUGCUUGCCCAACUCACAUCCUCUCACUCGGCUUGUUUCACACCCUUGGCUUUCCAUUCCACUUGGCCACAUCAUCUUAUACAUAUCACUCACAUCCUCUCACUCCACUUGCUUCACAUCCUUAGCUUUCCAUUCCACUUGGCCACAUCCUCUUAUACAUAUGAGCGUAGUGCUGCUUCAAGUACACAUCCUCUGGAUACACAUCGUAGCGGUAGCGGUCCUUCAAGUACAUACCCUCUAUUCGGCACAUAUCCUCCUACUACCGUUUCACUCUCUAUUGGUAUACAUCCUCUCCCACUAUAUUUGAGCCCUUCCUCCUUGAUACUUAGUAUUAGGCACACAUCUCUUCCACUACAUAUGAGGCCCUUCCGCCUUCAUACUUAGUAUUGGGUACACAUCCUCCCACUAGAUAUCAGUCACUUCCUCUUGAUAUUACGUGAUUAAGGUAUUAGAAUAGAAUUUAGAAAUGAAGAACUUAAUGCAAAGUUUGAUAUAUGAUAAUUAUGCAGGUGAUAAGAUUGAUAAUAUUAUAUUAUAAUAUGUGACGAUUAUGGGGUAGUUAGAUUGAUGAUAUUAUACUGAGGGAUUAGAGUGAAUGAAGAAGCUAAUGUAAACAUUGAUAUAUUAUGGUUAUAUGGUUACGUGAGAAACUAUAUAAACAUUGAUAUAUUAUGGCUAUAUGGUUAUGUGAGAAACUAUUUAAUAUAAAGUGAUGAUUAUAUGAGGAACUAGUGCAUGAAUUUUAUUGACGCAAACUCCCUAUUUCACUACGAUUAGUUGCUAAAACAUGAAUUUUCUCCAGGUAAGCUACCCAUUCCACCCCAUGGUUGCUGAAACAUGUGAUGCAAAAAACCAUAAAAUUAAUUCGUCCUAUAAAAUUCAUGUUACUUUAUUAAACAUGUGAGGCAAAAAACCAUAAAAUUAAUUCGUCCAAUAAAAUCCAUGUUACUUUAUUCUUAUCGAUCUUUCUACCUUGCUUCAAGAGUAUAAAAGAGUAAAUAAUUUUUCCAAAGUUCAUAUUUUUAAAUGAUAAACAAUUUAACUAUUUCAAACCUGUGAAUAAUGUAUAAUUAAGAAAGUGUAUAGUAUUCUGGUAGAAGCAUAAACCGUACAGUUACUCCCUUAGGUCUUAGACUUGCUUGGGAAGAUAUUUCCGAUUUAAAAGUCUAGAAACUACCUAAAACGACGAUUACUGUCAAAAGAAAGAAUUUUGAUUUUUGAAAUUUCAAAAACUUAUAUCUCACCCUUCAAAAAUUGGACGGUCUCUAUUCCAUCUUGAGACAUUAUCACUUUCAAACCCAUAGAGAAUGCGAUUUGGAAAUUAGGGGUGGCCAAAGCUAGACCGAGACCCAAAAAAAUACUAUAGGACCCGAACCUAGACCCAAACUUGGACCCCACCCAAAAAAUAAAAAAAUCUGUAUAUUUAAAUAUUUAGUAAAUAUUAUUUAAAUAUCAACACUAUUCGGGUCAGGUCUACCCAAACCUGGACCCGAAUAGUAUUUGGGCCCAAGAUUUGGACCCAGACUCAACCCAAUGGUCCAAUUUUUAGACCUAUACCCAGACCCAAGUCGGGUCCACCUAUCCGGUCCAGGUUCAUUGCCACCCUUAUUAAAAUUUGGGAAAAUUAUAGAUAACCCCAAAAUCAACUUUGAAGACUUCCUAUCCCUAAUACUCUGACUAUCUCACCCUAAACCCCAAUACUAUUUUUUCUUGUAUUACCCCAGUCAACAAGUUUAAAGGUUUAAAAUUAAAAUGUCAUUUUCCUCUCUAUUCCCCUUAUUUAGUGAUCGUGUGUCCCUCUCUCCCUCUAUACCCUAACUAUCUAUUUCUCUCUACCUAAGUCUCUCUAGUGAAACCCACAUUUUCUCUCUCUCUCUACCCGCCUUCUCUCUAUCUCUCUUUCAAAACUACUCUAUCUAUCUAAAUCUAUUCUCUCUCUAACUCUUUUUUAUGCGUCGAGGAGCCCACUGGAAUGAAUUCUUGUCCAUGACCCCUGGUUUUCUUCAACCUAGUUGUCUCUGUCUUCCCAAAACUAACAAAUUAUUAUUUAUUAAACCCUUUUUUUACUCCCUUUUAUACCUCUUCCCAUCUCCUUGAACGCCCUUAAAAUUCUCUCCUUAGAUUCUCUCCCUCUAUUAAUUCCCUAUCUUUUUCCGGUUCUCUUACCAAAUUUCCGUCGUUUGCCUUCUCAACCGAAAACCUAUCUCUCAAUUUCUCGUAUAGAGAGCAACCCACUCUCCAAUUCUCAUCUUGAGAGACAGCCCAUUUCUCUGGUUUUCAAGUAGCGGAUGAGGGGCCAAUUAUUUUUUAUCAUUAGUAUGUUGAUGAUACUUUAUUAUUUUGUAAAGCAAAUGUGAACGGAAUUAUAAAUAUCAGAAGAUUUCUUCUCGAGUGCUGUGAUUUGCGAGGGACAAAAGGUUAAUUUUGUAAAGACUUUAGUUAUUGGUGUUGGCCGCCGAGAAGGGGUAGUUUCGUAUCCAGCUCAAAUUAUGAAGCGUAAGAUGGAGAUGUAUCUAGCUCAAAUGAUGGAAAAUGCAAGACGCAGACGUUUUCCCCUUUGGGACACAAUGGUAAAACAUGCUAAUAAAAAUUUGGAAAUUAAAACACUUAUAUUUUUUUUGGAGGAAGAGUCACUUUAAUAAAAGCAUCUUUAUCUAGUCUACCAAUUUAUCGGAUGUCAUUAUUAAACGGGCAUGGUGAUAUUUAUCGGAUGUCAUUAUUAAACGUGCCUGGUGAUAUUAUCAACCAAGUGAAGCAAUUGAUGAGAAAUGGAGGUACGGAUAAAGAUGUGAAUAAAUAUCACUUAAUUAGUUGGGACAUAGUGUGUACACCUAAAAAUGAUGGAGGUAUGGGUAUCAGGAAAUUGAAGUCGAUAAACCAAGCAUGGCUAGCAAAAUGGUGGUGGACUGAAGGACAUUCUUGAGUCUAAAUUUGGGCGGGAUGUUUGCCACUCUAUUAUUGCAGAGGGACAUACUGGUGAUCAGUUCUAUGUUUGGAAUGGUAUAUCAUCAAUGCGGUGCUUCUUUCUGGCUAACUCCAUACGGGCCGUUAGAAAAGGGGAUAGAGCGUUAUUCUGGCACUCAAUGUGGGCUUUAGACUUACCAUUAAAACGUCUGUGUCCAAAUUUGUUUUAGUAGAAGUGAAAAUCCAGUGGCUCACAUUUUAAAUGUCUCUAUCCAAAUUUGUUUAGUAGAAGUGCAAAUCCAACGGCUAACAUAAAUGAAGUAGGAGUUGUAGAUGGGUCUCCUGUUGUUUGGAACAUCAAUUGCAUAUAUCAGUGUAUACCCCACAUUGCGGAUGAACAAUAUGUAGAUUUACUCAGAAAUUUGGAAAGUUAUCAUCUUUCAACUCAUGCUAGCGAUGAGGGUGUAUGGGAGUUAGAAAUGGGUGGCCUCUAUCAUGUGAAAUCUGCAUACGACUUACUGUUUCAUGAUGCAUUAGAUGGAACCAAUCAAAUCUAAAGGAGAUUUGGAAAUGGAGAAUUCAUCACAAGGUACAAGUGUUUAUUUGGAUAUUAUCUCGGAAAAAAGUUCUAACGGUUGACAAUUUAAUAAAAGGAUGAAAGAUUCUUGUCAAUGGUUGUCUUAAAAGAUGAAGAGAGUGUUGAUCACUUAUUUUUACAUUGCCCAUAUACUUAUAAGUUAUGGUGUUGGGCAAUGCAAAAAGUAAGAAUUAUUAUGCUCAUGCCACAGUCAGUUACAGUAUGGAUGAGCAAUUUGAAGAUAUGUGCGGUUCUAAAGAUAGGUAGUUUGUUAUGGGAUAUCUUAAGAGGCACCCUACUAUGGGAAUUAUGACUUGAAAGGAAUAGAAAGACUUUUGAUGGUGUGGGUACAAGUAUGGAGGAACUUAAAAAUAGAUUGUGUUUCGCACUUGGAGUUGGUUUAAAGGUACAAAGGAAGGUUGGGGUACUUCUAGACAUGAUGUUGAUAAUAACUUGAACAAAUUAAUUAUGCAAAGAUUUAUCAACGUAGAAACCGCCAUCUGUGGGUUCUAUGAAAUUGAAAUUUGAUGGCUCAUCUAUUGAGAACCCAUGGGAAUCAGGCGUGGGGGGAGUAUGUCGAGAUAGCGCAUGUCAAGUCAUAUUUUGCUAUGCACGCCCUUGUGCUUUAGCGACUGCUAAUCAUGCUGAAUUGGCAGGAUUAUUACGAGGACUGGUGAUAUUUAAAAACAUGGGCUUCCAAAACAAUGUGGUCAUCGAAGGUGAUUAUCACAAUGUCAUCAAUUGGUGUACAGGUUUGUCAAGACCUGCUUAGUGGCUGUGCUCUUUGUCGCAUAAAGUUAAGGAUUUAUCUUUAGGCAGCAGAUUUACCUUUUCUUAAGUUUAUAGCGAAGAUAACUCCGUUGCAGAUGACUUGGUUACGAAAGGCAUCUCUUUGGUCCCUUUGACCGUAUCUUCUUUAUUUUAGUUUUCAUUGUAAUCUCUUUUUAUCUUAAUAAAAUCUAUUACUCUUGUCAAAAAUAAAGGGAACCCAUUUCUCAAAUUCUCAUAUUUCCAUAGAGAGAGAAGUUUGGGGGCCCGUAAAGAGAAAGAGAUAGGCCAAGUGGAGAGAGAAAGUGGGUUUCAAUAGAUAGAGACUUUGGUAAAAAAGAGUUCGUGUUAGUCUUAAUUAAAAAUCGAUAAACAAUUUACUCAAAUCUGUCUUUAAAUCACACAAGAGACUUAACGUUCCAUACCAAAACUCCCUCAAGUGCAGUUAAUUUGGAUUAACAAGUUGUCACCGAACUGUUAAUCUUACGUAACGAGUUAAACCUAUCAUUAGUGCACUAAUGGCUCACAUAAUGAAAUGUCAUCCAAGCAUUCUUACAAUUUGAUAAUAAGAAAUUUAAAAAUUAAAUAAUGUUGUACAUUGAUAAUAUAGAAAAACAAUUCUUAUCCGAAAUCUAAACAUAUCACUGGGUUUCCCCUCCAAUGUAACAUCCUAUAAAAGCUCUAAAAUAGAUCCUAGCAUAUGGCAUUGCCUCACGUCCAACUACAUGAGAUUUCACAUAUACUAUACAAUAUGGCUUUUGUAUCGUUAUUAAAAAAUAAAUUACAGAAAAAAAAGAGCCCGAAAGACUUUCUAACAUUUUAAGCAUAGAGAGAGUGAGGAACACGAUAUUUUAAUCUUAAACAUUUUAACUUGUUGAUUACGGGAUAAAUGCAAAAAAAAAAAAUAGUAUUAAGGUCUAGAGUGUGAUACUAAUAGCAUGGGGGUAAGAAGUCUUCAAAGUUGAUUUUGGGAUAAUAUAUAAUUUUCCCAUAUUUUUAUUGAAGUUGGCAAAAUGUUACAUCCCAAAAAUUUUGGUCCUAAAAAUACUUCUAAAUUGAUUUUUAUUCGCGGGAGUAGAUGGACAUAAGGCUGAUGCGGGAGAAUGAACUAUAUUGGAUGCAACUAAUCAUUACCUUUGUGAGAACAAGCAUUUGAUGAAAUAGCGGUUCCAUUGAUAUUUUCGUUGCUUUGAGUGAUGAAAUUCAUUUACCCAAAUGAGUAGUUAUGAAAUGUUUGCCAUUUUUUACCUUUGUCAAAAAUAAUAAUAAUAUUUGUUUACGUUGAUAGAGCCAUUAGGUUUGUCUUACAUGUCAUACACGCACCACAUAGGAUCAUAAUGCCUUACGCAUGUCAAUCACUGUUACCUCGUUUUUAAGAGGGGAAAUUUGACAAAAAUCCUACUUUUAUGAGAUCAAAGUUAAACAAUAGUCCUAGAUAUUUGAUGAAUUGCUAGCUUCAUGCACGUACUCCGCAAGUGUGUAAAUCAAAUUUAGUGUAUUGAGAAAGAGUUAGUUGGUGAUAGGGUGUAAAAGAGAGGUUGCGCAAUGCAAAAUAGUAAAUGCAAGAAAGCGAAUGAAGAAUUUUUCAUAUAAAUUUCAUUUGCAAGAAACGAUAGAAAAUAAAUGACCAACCGGCUAAUUCAAUAGAAGAGAAAAGAAGACCUAUCAUAUCUUCCCAUCCAAGAUAGUCCAGUCCUCGUUCAUGAUUUAGAUAAAGAAGAAAAUUCCUCUCCUAUUAUAGAAAAUUUUCGACAGCGAGUUAAAUCUUAAUCCAAAAAAUGAAUAUGAGCUUGUUAAAUACAUUUAUAUACACAUAACCACCUCCAAAAAAUGAUGGUUACGGAUGUUAAAAAUCCCUUUGUUGAUGCAAAAGGUAAUAUUUCCAAAAUAUAACAUAUACAUGUGUACUCACAAAGAACUUAGUACUCUUUGGGCAAUCGUUACUCCCCCGGCUCAAACCUGAGGUCAGUGCUGCUAUAUUUUGAAAUAAAUAAAAAUAAUAAUAUUGAGUUAGCCAACUAGAAGUAUCAGACAAUUUUUUUAAAAUGUGAAAGUGUAAUUUUCAUUAUAGACAAAAUGUCACACUUACUAAUGUAUUAGAUAACUCUCAAACCCACGAUUGAACACCCCCUUCUUGUCACUAUCAAGAUUAUUAAGAGCUUAGGAAAACCAGAUUAAAAACGUAUAUUCCUUUGAAAUACAAUAGAAUACCUUUCAAACCCAAAAACGAGAGAUUUUUAUGGCAAAGAAUGGAAAUUGUUUUGUCCAUUAAUUGUUAUUUUUACAUUUUCCAAUUUUUUUUAAAAAAAUUUAAAAAUACUCUGAAUACAAAUUGAUUCUUUAAAAUUUAUUUUUAUUCAUUUUGAAUUUCAUGUAGAUGUGCUUUAUUCAAUCAUUCUUUAUAUAUAUUUUUUAUAUUAUAUUAAAUAUUUUUACAUUUUUUAUUUUUUAAAAAAAUUUUGACUCCCCAAAACUUGCCUGGUUAGAACGAUUGAACAGUCCGACUUACCCCAGUUGAAUCGCUUAUGGGCCAAAAUCUUUCCGGUUUGAAAUUUCCUACUGGCUGAGGCCCAACGUGUGCGAGUCUAAUGCUAACUUGUGGAAUAGAGAUUGUACCGUGCUCUUGUAGAGCACCAGAGAGAGAAAAUAGGACAAAUUAGGGCUAGAAAGCACAAGUGAAAAUCUAUCUCAACUUUAUUAGCACAAUAAUUAUUCUCUUACAUGAACUACUUUCAUGUGCAUCUCUUUAUACACCUGGGUUCCUCGUAUUAUGAUUUUAAAGAGAGAGCCCACAGAUUUGCUUCUGGUGAGACUUGGGUAGUCCGCCCAGUUUCAUUUAAUGAAGAAUCAAGAUUUUUUUAUUUUUUAUUUUUGGCCAAGGGGCUCCAUCCCAAUUCCUUUCUAUUGGAAAGGAUAUGGAUCUAAAUUUCCUCAUUAAAACCUUCUUUUUUAACUUGAUUAUGAUUUGAUCUAAAUUUACUUAUUAAAUUCUCAAGAUUCCCCAUUCAAAUCUUCUUUUUUAACUUGAUUAGGAUUUGAUCUAUACCUCAAUAAAUUCUUUAAAUUUGAACACGACUCAUUGCCCAUCUUCCUUUUAAAAAAAAAAGUGGGUAAUUCUUCCUUCUUUAAAUUUGAACACGACUCAUUGCAUAUCUUCCUUGUCCAAAAUUAAUACUUUCAAAAUCAGUAUUUGAUUCUAUAUCUUAUGCAAAAACUAUAUGGGUGCGGUUUAUAGAAGCCAUCCACCAUAAACAAUUAAAGACAACCGCUAAACCAUGCAGAAAAGAUGCAGUUCUGACGCUGGAAACCCUUCUCAUCACCUUAAAUCUAUUUUUACCCUAACCAUGAAAUUUAAAACUCUAAAAAUACCUUAGAUUGAGAAAAUUUAUAUACACGGGGUUCAAAUAAGGUACUAUUUAUUGAACUUUAAAAUAUUUUUUUGCCAUAUUCAUACAUCGGGCAAGAUGCUCAAUUGGAGAGUUUUUCAGCACAGGAAUAACCUUUACUUUUAAGGUGCACCUCACCUUUAUAAAAUUAACUUGAAUAUCUAUCCGUAUUGCCAAUCUAAUUGCCAACUCCAAGGAGUCCUCCAACACACAAAGGGACACUCCUUGUAGUCAUUUAUUUUUGGGAAACUUCAUAUGAAAACAUUUCAAAUAACCCUAAUUUCACGAAUUUGGUGAUUAUUCGGCACAUGUACUGAGUUCCAAAAAUCAUAAAAAUCUGGAAAUGUCAAAAUAUAUUGAUCUAGCUCUAUGUUUGGAAGUUGAUUUUCGAUACGAAUUUCAGUACUCACCUCUAUUUUGAGUUUUUGAAAAUUGAUAGAAAUUUGAAAUAAAAAAGAAAAAAAUAAAAAGAGGAAAAUAAUAUGGAAGGUCCAAACCAAAUUGCCAUAAUGCAAAGAUAAAUCUAUAAGAAGGCCGGAGGUAAGGGAUGUAGCACCUCUAAUAAAGAGCCAAUACUACCGGGAUUGGACCGACCACCGAACAUAUAAAGGGCCUACUCUAAUUAAAAUCAUUUAGAUUGUAGGUUGAAUUGGUUAGACUAGGAAUAAUAAUUUAAAGAAUUAAAUAUAUAACAAAAAAUACUCAACUUUGUUUAACUGAUCCGACUGGUCAAAUCGGCUUGUCCUAUUAGCCAUUGUCUUAUUAGCCAAUAUUGGAGUAGUAUUAGUUUUGAAUGGCUUUCGACCAAAUUCAAUUUUUGCUUUAAAUCAAAACGGCAAAAGCUCUAACGGGCAAUCUAACUAAUCGAUUUGGGUAGUCCACUAUGAUCUUAAUAACUAUAAAAUGGCCUCAAACAUUAGAGGAAGUGUGGUCAACAGCUAACUCACACAUUGGCAAAAGAAAAAGAAAAAAGAUAAAAGCGAGCUCAUAAAGGAUGACAAACUUCUAGUUGUGGUCCAAAACUCGAUCGAGUUACCCUGCCUCAUCACCCUUUUCAGGUUACAAACAUUCAUUUAUCCAAAGGGUUUUAAAAAAGAAAAUGGUUUGAUAGGAUCGCAGCCCUAUCAGAAUAAGUAAAACCUCACCUCAUACGUGCAAUUCAAGCAUUGAAAAACCUUUACAUUGAUUAUCUCGGUUUGAACAUUAUGGUUGUUAAAAAAACAUUGAGAUUUCAAGCUCUACAAAUAGUGUUUAUUGUAACAAAUUAUCUAGACCGCUCAUUUCGCCCUAAAAAUAAGUGUUCAUAAAUUUAUGAGAUAUGUAUUAUUUUUUAAUUUCAAAAAAUAAGUGUUCAUAAAUUUAUGAGAUAUGUAUUAUUUUUUAAUUUCAAAUUUUAUUAGCAGUGUUGAAAAUUGAUUUUAAAACCAUCAUUAAGAUAUUCACUAUAGGCUAGAGGUCCAUACGUGAGGAAACCACCCUUUGCUCACAAAUAAAGCAAUUCUAUCUUCACCGCUCACGAAAGACAAUGAUAAUGGCGGGAUUUGCAGCGGCACCAUAAUCGACAACAAUCAUACACGCUACCCAAGUCGUUGUUUAAACCCUAGGCCUUAUACAAACUUUAUCCAAAAGAAUUUUACUAAAGGAAAAUUAUUUGAUAGGGUCCCCAUUAACAUGAGUAAAUCCUCACGUCAUAACUCAUAAAAAAUUGUAAGUCAAGCUUUGGAAAACCUUUACAUCAUAUCAUUUCGAAUUGAACAUUAAGUUUGUGACAAAAAUUACGAUUUCAAGCUUUAAAAAGAAUGUCUAUGGUAACAAAUUAUCUAAAAUAUCCAUUUUGCUUUACCACUUUUUGAGUUCGAAUUUUUAUUGUGGAAUUGGAAAUUGAUUUUAGAACCACCAUAGAUAUUUAUGUUGCUGAAAGAACUUUCCAGAGGAGUAUUUGAGGUGAGGUUUUAUUUCGUUUUCAUAAAGCCUAGGCCUUAUAGAAACUUUAUCCUCUAAAAAUUUUAAAAAAAAAAUUAACUAAAAAAUUUAUAAAUGAUGAAUAGCUCAGUAAUAAAUGAGUUGAGCAAUUGAAUAGAGGCAUAAGGCAUAAGGAAAUACUUAACGGAUGCAACCUGUACCUGCUAAUCAAUCUUCUCUGUCCUCCUCAUCUCUCUACGCGUGCAUUGUGUGUUUUGUCAGAGAGAGAUGGUCCGAAGGUUGUGAUCCAUUUCUCAGUGUCUAUGCGCUUGUGUAAGUUCAGAGCCCCAUGUGUGUUUUAGAGAGAGAUAUAAAGAGGUGAGAACGGCUGCCCUAAUGCUCAUGUCUUACUAGAAUUAAAACCACUGAACCAGUAAGUACAUCCUCAACAUAAACUUGCUAUAUGCAGUUAGAAAUUUAACCCAAAGCAGUCAAGCCAAGAACCAUGCCACCUCGUUUUCCAUAAAUAGAAAUGGAAGACGGCCAUGGCAACGCAAUAAACUUGCAAAUCAACUCCUAGAAUGGAAAUCAGGUUGCAGAAAUAUGAAUUCUGAAAGCCACGAAGCUUCGUCUACUGAAUAUUACAAGAGAGAAAAUCAUUUCAGAGAGAGAGUUUAAAGAAAUGGCAAGAGUGAACUGAUGGGCGCCAAAGAUAGAACACAACGUUUUAGAGAAACCACAAAUGGGCUCAAUUACCCCCAAAAGAUGUUCAGAGAGAACUCUAGAAAGAGAAAGCAUUAAAGAUGUUUAUAGAGAAACAGUCAUGGGGCAGAGAGCGAGAAAAGAAGAAUGCUUUGUUAGAUCUAUGAAUAUCUAUUCUCAAGCUGAGUUUGUUAAUGAGAAAGAGAGAAAAAUAAAUGUGAGAAUCUCAUUAACAAAACCAAGAAAACGCUUUGAGAUUAGAAAUAAUUUAAAGGAGUAAUCAGGCCCAUUUAAAGAGAUUACCGAACAUUAAAGAGAGAAUCUCAGUCAUGCUUAUAGAGACUGUAUUGAAAAUAAAGGGGCUUGAAAAGCAAGGGUGGGGAGAUAAAGAGCAAAAGGAAAAGUAAACUUCCAACCCUGUGUGUGUGAGAGAGAGAGAGAGAGAGAGAGUGAGAGAGAGAUGAAGCCAUUAAGUCUAGAUGAGAAGCAUCUAAUUCAAUUGCACAUUGUAAUCAAGUAGAGUGGAGAAAGAGAGAGACAUCCAUUGACUCUAGAUCUUCUAAUUCAAUUGCACUAAGCAAUCAGGUAGAGAGAGAGAGAGAGAGAGAUUCAUUGAAUAUAGUUCUUGUAAUUCAAUUGCACUUAGUAAUCAAGUAGAGAGUGAGAUCUCCACAUCAAUCUCCAAAAAAGGCAAUAUAAUUCAGAGUUGACAUGACAUAUGAGUGAGAGUGAGAGAGAGAGAAAGAGAAGCAUCUUCUCAAAUAUUAUCAUUCACAAGAGAAGAGAGAGAGAGGCAUCUUCUCAAAUCUUAUCAUUCACAAGAUAAUCCAUGGAAAUAAAGGGGCUCACAAUUUAAAGCCAUCAACAAAACAAUUUGAAGUUAUCAACAAACAGAUAUUCACUAUGAAACAACUGAGGAGCAGAGAUAGAGAGAGGGCUCUAUGUCUUCCACCUAAUUUACCAAUUUGAGAGAGGACCCAAUUUAUGAGAUAGAGAGUUCAAAAAGAGAGAGGGCUCCAUACUUUCCUUCUAAUUAACUGAUGAGGGAGAGAGUUCAAAAAGAGAAAGGGCUCAAGGUCUUCCAUCUAAUUAUUAACUGAUUUGAGAGAGAGAGAGAGAGAGAGGGAGGGAGUUCUAGGCCUUCCAUCUAAUUCACUGAUCUUUUAUUGAGAGAGAAAGAGGUCUCUAGGCCUUCCAUCUGAGUGAUUUUUAGGUAGGGAGAGAGAAGGCUCUAAGCCUUCCAUUUAAUUUAUUAAUUUUAAGAGAGUGAGAGCUAUAGGCCUUCUAUCAAACUCAUUUUUUUUAGAGAGAAAAGGCUCUCCCGUCUAAUUCACUGAUUUUUCAUUGAGAAAGCAAACUCUAUACCUUCCAUCUAACUGAUUUAAGAGAGAAAAGGCCUCACGCCUUCCAUCUAAUUUGCUUAUCCUUCAUUGAGAGAGAACUCUAGGCCUUCAUCUACCAGAUUUUAGAGAGAGAGGAUCUCUGAACUCUUGGGUGCAACCAAGUUAGUGAGUCACCUAGAAUGCAAGAAAAAAUUGUACUGAUCAUGAGACCGAUGCAUAGACGUGGUGUAGGAGUGGUACCUGAUAUCCGAUGAGCCCCUAAAACUAGACCUGGACCUGGAGCGAAGACGAGCGGCCAACCCCAAAGCCCAUGACGAAACCCUAAACAUUCCUUCUGCAACCUCCACCAUUUCUCCCAACCUGCAAAAACUCUUCCUCAUAAUCACUCCCAACCAAACUGAGAUCCCCACCUCCCAAUACCUCAUUUUCUCUCACUAAAACUGCCUCGCAACCCUCAUCAUUUCAUCUUCUCACUAUAAAUGUGGUGCAGUGGACCCUCUCUCUCACUAUAAAUAUGGAGCUGUCUCUCUCUCUCUAGAUUGCAUCCCUGGUUGCCUUGUGCGUAUGCGAUUU